AAAAAAAAAAAAAAAAAAAGGUCAGAAGUUAAUACUCUCAAUGAUAUAAGAUUGAAAAAAGACAAUAGUGAGAUUAUAGAAAAAUAACUAGAUUGCCAAAAAAUUUGUGACAACAUUUUUGGCCCUUCAUUUCAGUCCCCCCUCCCCUCCCCCUCCCCCUCCCCUCGGAUAUGAAGCAACAAAGUAGAUUUAGAUUCUAAAACUACAAAUAAUUCUUACCUAACAAUUAAACGCAUCCGCAAGGCACAAUUGCAUUCUAAUGAUUCCAAUGCAAAAUAAUUCAAAACCGUCAACGCAUCAAACAUGAAAAAAAAAAAAAAACUUGUUACCUGCUCAAUAAGUGAAGCGGCAUGUGAGGUCGAUGGGCGACCAUAGCCGUGGGUGACGAUAGCCGAUGACAGAUGAUUAUGGAACUACAACCCACACUCACAUCGUCACAUUCCACACAUUAGUUACUAUUUACCAACUCAAAGAAUUGACGAGAAGAUCAAAUGUCAAAACAAAGGUAUCUUACAAUUAAAAAAAAAUGUCAAAGAUAUAUAACCCCAAACUGCAACUUUUCUUCCAAUUGAAAACUUCAUCACAGUCCUACAAUUUUUACAGGCUUUUGAUGUACAUAUUAUUAUCAAUUACGAUGAUAAUUGGAUUAUUAUAUUUAUGUUUUAUGUAGUUUAGGAGCUUUUGUAAUCUCCAAGAACAAUUUAAAGCCAUUAAACAACACAGAGAAGAAAAUAAAUAAACACAUGACAAAAGAAAAUAAAGUUAGGCAUGUUCUUCAUCAAAAUUUAAAUUUAUUGCAUGUGAAUCCAAAAAAUUAAGAGAAAUAAUUUCAGUCCAUAUGAAUCAAAGAUAUUCCUAAGUUUGAUAAGGCUGGUGAUGAAACCUUUCAACCUUAAGGAAGAUAUCAUACUCUUUCAACCUUAAGAGAGAUUAACAAUAAAAAUUAUGGAUUAUUCUCUUCUAUGUAGCCACCCCAUUGUUCUUUAAGAAUCUCUACAAUUGUGACAACAGUAGUGAUUGGUGUAAUAUUACAAAGAAGGAUUUGAGCCAACAAAACCAAAAAUUCAUCAGAUAUAUAUCCAUAAGCGUUAAAAUAAACUACAAGAAACAAAACAAUACCCAUUCCCAAGGCAGAAAGCUCAACUUCAUUAUGAUGUUGAAUGUACCUCUGAAUUUAGGGCAAACAACGAUUAGAAUCCUCAAUAAAAAAAACAACCAAAACAACAUAGAAACUGAAAUUAAUUAAACGAUUCUCCAGGUAGUACAAUUACUCAAAUCAUAAACAAAACGAGAAUCAAUAAAAGUAUAACUUUGAAGUCACUUAAACUAAUAUCAAUAAAAACUCAUAAGAGUAACAAAAACUAAUCCAAUUCUCCUAAAUUACUCAACUUGCCAAAUAUCACCAAAGAAGAUUUUGCACGCAAAUCAAUUCACAAGUAAACAAAAACAAAAAGUUUGUAGACCAUAACUCUUAGAAAGCUCUUAAAUGACAAGAAUUAAAAGGUAGGAAUUGAUAAUUCAGGUAAUGGAAAACAACAAAAGAAUCACACAAACAUUUUAUAGGAAUAAGUUAGACUUAUUGAAUUGGUGAGAUUUUCAUAAGUUGUAGCCAAAUUUGUCCAGUCACGCAAAUAAGAAGCUGCACCAAUUUUGGGUUGGAACGUAAACAUUUAUUAGCAAAUUAAGUUAGCAUGCAUAGUCAAGUAAAACUUUAGGCUGCUUAUAUUCUAGACUAAUACUAACAUUUUUAAAAAAACUAAAUACAACAAGGUAUUGUCGUGAAUAACGAAAUUACAACAAGUCUUGUCACUAACCAAAUAUCAAUCACUUGCUUGGUACGUAGCUGCAUUAUUAUAGUAGAUCGAUCGGUUAUUGGUGUAAAACCUAAUAAAAACACAAUAAUGUUUUAUUUGAGUUUGCCGGAAGAAUAUGAAUUAAAUAAGUUUGUUAGUUGAAUCUUUCUUCUACAUAAUGUGUUGAUUUAUCCCUAGAGUAAGAAAAGUAAAUGAUGAAAGAGAUAAAUUGAAAAAACUUGUAAUUAUAUAGAAAAGAAAUGUGAAUCGUGGAAGUUUAGAAAAAGAGUAUAACAUACAAGGAAGGAAUUUAAUUCUUGGAUGUACCACUAUAGUAUGCAAGAUCACAUUUCUCCAUUUAUAAUUUCCAAAACGAUGUUGAAAAAGAUCUACAAUAGCUUAGUAUAAACCAUCAAUUAAUGUAUAUCUUCCUUUUUACUUUAAUUUGAGUUAUUUGAAUUGAAAUCACAUACCAGAAAAUCAAGAAAAAAUUUAUAAGAAAGCAUGCCAAGUUUAUGCAUAAAAUAGCAGCACAAAGUAUCCUAUGAAAGCCACACUCACCUUAUUCUGCUUUUGUCAAAAUUCCAAACAUUAGUUCGCCAUGUAACAAUAACUUUCUCGUAUUCUUCACAACUUUUUCCUCCAUUUUCUCAUAUUCUUCACAACUUUUUCCUCCAUUUUCUCAUAUUCUUCACAUUAGCUUCCCUGUUAUACCGAGUUACCAGGGAAACUACGAUAUGCUUUAAAAGAAAAAUCAUAAGAUUUACUAUAGUCUAUAGUCCAAAUCCAAUCUAAUUGUAUAUUGGGUUCUCCUCAUUCUCAUCCACGAACAUUCUGAUAUUUCUGUUUAAGUUCCAAGUUUCAAAUUCUUAUAACAUGAAAUGGCUCAUCUAUCAAAACAAACAUUAGAGUUUGACUCCUCUCCAAAAAAUAAAAUCCAUAGUCAUCUUAAGCUUCUACUUGUCUCUGGUUGCUUUGCGAAUUAUCUAACUUUAAUGGUAAAACCAUCUUGCUACUUGUUCUUUGCUUCUAGUAAUAAGUUCCCCAAAUCCAACCAUUGUCAUAAUUUACUAAAGAAACAUGAUAGUUCACUUUAUCACUAAUACUUCAUAUUUGAGUAUGCUGACAUGCGCUAUCCAAUCAACUUUUGGUUUGAUAUUGAGAAAUGGACAACAAUGUCGUUUUUGAAAAUGUGGAUGAUUAAUGUCGGUUUCAAAUCGACAUUAAUGAGAGAGGUUUAAUGUCGUUUUAAAACCGACAUUAAUCAUCCGCAUUUUCAAAAACAAUAUUUAUGUCCAUUUCUCUCUUUAAUUUAUUAACUAUUAUUAUUUUUUAUUAUUUUUAAUUUUACAAAAAGUCAAAAAACAUAUCUCUUAUACUCUUUCUCAAAAUCCCCUUCCUUCACGAUUUUUCUUCAUCUCUCAAAAUCUCACACUACUUUUCUCUCUCUUCUCCAAACACAAACAGUGGCCGCUGCCGCCACCAUAGUGUACCUCGUACCCAGCCCGUGCCCGCCGUGCUAAUCCCUCACCACCACCUUGUCUUUUUCACGAUAUGCUCGUCACCACUAAGUUGAAACCCUCGUCUCUUUCACACUUGCCUCUUCACCAACGUCAGAAUCCUCAUCUCUUUCACGUUAUGCUCGCCACCACCGUUGAUUGUUAACUACUUUGGUUGAUUCUCACAUUUACUUUAUUGCAUCAUUGCAUGUAUAAGAUUGCAACUUUAGUUCUCUAAGAAAAAGAGACUAGUUGGUUCUUGCAAAACCACCAGUCUUGGUUUAGGAAUUACAACAUAUCGGAAGAGAGGUGUUAUAGAUAUAUAUAAAGCUAUUAAAAUAAAGUAAACAAUAUCAAACUAAUGUGAAAAUAUUUGGAUGAUUGUUCUUACACUAAAAAAUUGUGUUAAAAAAACAAAAGUGGAAAAGAAGUGUUAGCUGAAUUUUUUAAAAUAAAAAUUAAGAAAAAACGGUUGUGAAAGGCAUCUUAGUAUAUUUUUUUAAAAAAUAAUUAAAGUUUCCUUCCUUAUAGAUUAACUUACAUGCAUCUACUUUUAUUAAUAUCACAAUUCAAUUAUGGAAGGAAGGCAUUUGAAAUGUUCAUGUUGAAAGAAAGUUCCUAAUAAUUUAUUUACAAAACUAAUAUUUCCUUAAAAGAACAAUAAAUUUCUUUGUUUUUUUUAGUUUUUUACUUUGUUGCAAAGAGAGAUCACACAAACUUGUAUCCCAUGUGCUUCACUAAUUAAAGAACUAAUUUCACAAUUAUUUUUCAUAGCCCUAGGUGCCUUUCUAGUAUGAAAUGAUAGUUAAAGAACAACUUAUUUUUUAUCUUGCUUGAAACUUUAAUUCAAUUAUAAUAUAGAACUAACCGGUCUAUAAGCUAGUUAGCUAAUGCUAUAUAUAUGAUAACUAAUAGGCAACUUGAAUAAUCAUACUCAUAAUUAUAAUAAUAAUAAUAUUGAAAAAUUGAGUUUCCCUAACUCCUUAUGGUGAAGAUAUUUAUCAAUAAAGUAAGUUAAAUCAGUUUUAAGGAUGUUGACAUUAAUAAUUAUGAAAUAUACAACUUUAGAUUAUAUUGUUGUGAAGGAAGGCAUUCCAUUGAAGAGAGAUGAAUAACCAAAAUAAAAGAAGUGAAAUUUUUUAGGAGACACUCGUGUGCGGUGAUUACAUUGGGGUCGGUGCCCACUUUUACCAAAGCCAGUCAUCAAAUAAAGUAAGUUAAAUCAUCUCUUCAUGCAUGUCAUUAAAGAUGUAAAAUAAUAAUCAAUGAAUUGCACUUUGCUUUACACACAGCCUGCUUCAAAUUGAAGCCAUAUAUAUGGUUUAAAGGUUUUGCUCUAUUGCAUAACUAUGCUCUUUUUUCCUUUUCUUUUUUAAUAUUGCAGUUAUUAACACUCCUUCUCAUGCGUAAAUUGGAAUAUAAUAGGAAGUUAAUUUAGUUUCUUUUCAACUGAUCUCUCUUGCAGUUCUUUCUGAUUUCAUGAAUUGUCUGUGAAUAUGGGGAUGUUAGGUUGUGAUUUUCUGUUUGUUCUAUGAAUUAAAAAAAAAGGUUUUUCUUCACUGUCAACUAUGUGUUGUAGUUUGCUUUUUUUUUUUUUUAAAGAAAAAUUGGUGUGAACAUUUGAACAUAUGAAAAACAUUAGUGAAAUUAAAUGUGACAAACUUAUGAAUGGGGUAGUUUGGGAGGUAUAAUUUGGUUGGAGAGAAUUAGAGAAACAGUGGGAAAAAAAAAUCUAAAAAUGGCUAUGUUUGGAGGCCCCCCUCCUACUUCUCUUCUACUCCUAUUUUACAUUUUUCUCCCAAAAAACCACUUGGAUUUUCCCCCAUUUCCUUCCUUAUCACAUCAACAAAAUCACUGUCUUUGCCCUUUACUCGUUCCAAUUCCUAAAUAUUUGUCGUGGAGUAAUAUACAUCAAACGAUUAAAGCAAAACUAAGUAAUAUACAUCUAACACAUACCUAAUUUUAUUGAUAAAGUAUUUACUUUAUGAAACCAUAUGAAAUCAGUAUUUUCCUAAGGGAAAAUGAUAGCUUACUGGUCUGCUUGAUACUAACUACCCAACCAAAGAAAAGAACUAAACAUCCAUGUAGUACAUAUCUAUAGUUAUGUAAAGUUAAGAAAGUCAUAGAUUUAAUGGCUUGGUUUGGUAAGAGUUACAGAAGGAGGAAUGAAAAUCAAAUGGCUGUUUUGAGUUGAUUCCAGCCAGCCCCCAUUUUUAUAUUUUGCACAAAUUUUUUGUUUCAUGCCUUGAUUAUUGCAGAACUUCAGGAUCUAAAAAGAGAAGAAAUGUUGGGAGAGAGGCCAAGGUAACUACAAUUGCCCUAUGUACUCUAUUGUUGUCAGUAGUUUUAUUUUUGAAGGUUGUACUGAUGUCUCUUUAUUUAUAGUGAAAUUGUUUUAGAUUAUCAUCAUUGGCCAGAUGUAAAUAUAAAUUUUCGUAAUUUGACUGAAAUUCUCAUUCAAAGUAUCAUAAUUGGUUUGUUUUGAUAUUGUUUGUAGAAUGAUUGAAGUCAUAUCGGGUUGAAAGCUAAGUGAUCGUGUAGACAACCAGACAAUCGUUAAAGGUUGAAGACUGAGAAGACGUCUAAGAUUUCUUAUUUAAGUCAUGUAUUAGGAUCUUGUACUCUUGUAAAAUAUAUACAUAACACAAUAUUAAGAUUUCAUUUUGUGUAUACACAAGUAAAUGACAAAUAUUGUAGUUUCUAAAUUAAUAUUAAUUUUAUUGAUAUGUUGGCACGAAAAAAAAAUAUUUAUCUACAAUUAAUGUUGGUUUAUAAAAAAAUGGACAAUAAUGCAACAAUUAAAUAAAAAUAAAAUUGCAAAGGUGGACUAAAAACUUAGGCUUUAACGUCGUUUUUAAACUGACAUUGUUGGCCUCUUUAAUGUCAAUUUUAAGGUCAACCGACACUAAAGAUCUUCAAUAACACUAUAAAAAAUAUCGGUUUAAAAAUGACAUUAUUAAUUUCGUUUCUAAACCAACAUUAAUGAGACCUUUAAUGUCAUUUUUAAACCGACAUCAAAGAAAAAACGACAUUAAAGACCUUUAAUAACGCUAACAUAGAUGUCGGUUGCCAACCAACACUAAAGGCCAUUAAUAUCAGUUUUAAACCGACAUUAAAGGUAAAAUUUCUUGUAGUGGUUGGAUAAGUAAAGAAAAGAUCUAUGAUAUAAGUAAGGACAACUAUAGCUAAUUGCACGAGACCUUUGGAGUAAAAUUAAAAGCAAAGCUAUGAAGGCUUUAUGCUUAAAAAGUAGACAAUAUCAUAUACCAUUUUGGAGAUAUGUUGGAGACCUACGACAUUGUGGAUAUAUGUUAGAGGGUUCGUUGUGCGACUGUCUCACAAGUAAAAAUGAGCCUAAUUACAACACAUCUAGAAACUAAUCCAACCCAAGAAUAUCACAAGAUCCACUAUUUCUCAUCCGAGUCUUGGAUUAUUUCAAAAGUAAGAGGCCUCAUUUCUACCAUCAUCUACCAAAUUACAAGACUAAUUCAACUAUAUAUAUUUCAAAAAUCAUAAGACCAACAUGAAGGUUUUUUUAUGAAGAAUUCGUGAAAGGUUUAUUUUACGCUAAUCAACCUUGUUGGGAAUUUAAUUUGUACUGAAAAUCAACCAGUUUGAUAGAACUAAUGCAAAAGAUUAACAUGGGGAAAAAAGUUUCAACAAUAACCUUGAAGCUCGAUAAUAGUGAUCGGUGAUUGUAACCCUAUUACUUAAGAGUGAUGGCAUAACUCUUACUUAAGAGUGAUGGCAUAACUCUCCAAUAAUGUAACUUCUGAUUCAAGUUGUGUAGCCCUUUAAUUUCCUUUGUUUGCAUCUAGAGGCAUUGAUGACUCUAAAAUUUACAUUCACUGUCUUGCAGCCGUUGUCUCAGUUCUCUAUCCUACAAUGUGUUUAUUGAGCGGAAAAUAAUUAGAAGGUAGCAUUGAUGAAUAGAAAAAAUUGACCUUUCUUCUGAUAAGAAAGAGAAACCGAACUUCAUCAAAGAAUUAGGGAAACAAAAUAUAAUGGGAGAUGAGGAAUCGACCCAAAAGGGCAUCACGUGAGUGGUGAAAAGUUCUUCUAGUAAUUUUUUGAAGAAAUAAUAGAAAAAGAGAAUAUGAAAGUGUUUUUGUAAGAUCACUCGAGUACAACUCAUUUUAUGGUGUAAAUAACUAAUAGUAUUAUUUUUUUAAUUGCAAUAUUGAAUAACUAAUAGUAUUAUUUUUUUAAUUGCAAUAUUGUCAUGUGGGUAGAUGAAAUAUUAAAUCAUGAUGGUACUGAAGAGAGAGAAUGAUCAAAAGAUGAACUAUAUGUAAUAAUUAAAGCUCAGUGCUAUUCAUCUUACAUAACCUCAAUCUCCAAACUUCAUAUCAUUCUCUUCCUCUUUAAUCAGUAAAAUUUGUAGUUGAAGGACAACACAUUACCACCAAAAGUAAUAGUAAAACUUAUUAUAUAAUAAAAAGUGUCAUAGAAAAUUUCUCCGUUUUAGAAUUUUUUUACAUACUAUAAAUAUAAAUAAUAUACACACACCCACGUAUGAAUCAUUAGAGCUUAUAGAUAUAAAUAUAAAUAAUAUACACACACCCACGUAUGAAUCAUUAGAGCUUUUAUAUACUAUAUACUAUUGAUAUAGAUAUAAAAUAUAUAUAUACACCCACACACAUGAAUCACAUUCAAUCACAAAUACAUAAAUAUAUAUAUAUAUAUAUAUAUACCACUUAUCUUCAUGAUCACAAACGUAUAUAUAUAUACACACACUCACAUAUGAAUUAUUAGAGCUUUUAUACAUAUUAUAGAUAUAAAUGUAGAUACAUAUAUAUCCACACAUGAAUCACAUUCAAUCACAAACAAAUAAAUAUAUAUAUAUAUAUACCACUUAUGUUCAUAAUCACAAAUGAAUAUAUAUAUACACACAGGCACAUGAAUCACAUUCAUCACGAAAGAAGAUAUAGAUAUAUAGCCAUUAAUCUUCAUGAUCACAAAUAUAUAUAUUGAUUUGUUUUAACAAUUCAAGAGAUGUGCUCAUAGUGUUAAGGGUAAAUUAAAAGUAAUGCUAAGAGAGGUCAAAUACGGUAUUUGCUUAUUAGGCAUCUGACAAAAAUCACUUCCAUAUAUUUAGUGAACAUUACCUCUCUCAAACUUUCAAUAUUGAAAUUUGAAAUUUGAGCUCGAUUUUAUUAUAUACGAGUGGUAAAAGUGAAUCCUAUAAUUUGUAAUAGUCGUAGGAAGUUGAACACUAAAACUAUAAUAAAAUGUUAACUUUCAAAUUUAUAUUAAAUGUUUUGAUCUAUUUACUUUUUUUUAGUUUGAGAAUCCAGUUUUUACUAUCAAAAGUUUUAGAACAAUUGCAGUUACCAUCCUAAUUUAAUUAGGGGUAAAUUCUUUUAAAAUUUUUCUUGUUUAUUUAAAGUUUGAAUUCAUUGUUAUUUCUAAUUAGGUUCUAAAUUUUCAUAAAUGUCAAUGUACAUUUUAUCAAAUUAGUUUUGAAAAAUAUAUUAGGGAAAACUUUAAUUUCUCAGUUUUAAUGUUUGGAUUAAUUUAGAACUUUUGUUAGAAAUAUAUUUGAAUAUCGUUAAUGCAUUAAAUUCGUACAUGUGCGUAGACUUUCAGACUUUAGCUAGAUUAAUAAGUUGCAAUUGAUGAGAAAAUACCAAUAAUUUUUCUCAUAAUUUCUAGAAGUAAAGAUGGUAUUGAUGGUUUCUUAAAUCGUAAAGAAAAAUUAUUUUAAAUGACAAAAAUGUUGAAAUUUUUUAUCAAUAUAACACAAAUAUCGUAUUUUGUUAGCGAUAGAGACUACUAUCUAGAUCUAUUACGACAUAGAUAAUAGUUCAAGAUGGUUUAUCAUUGAUUCAUAGACGUAGACAGUAAAAUUUUGUUAUAUUUAUAAAUAUUUUAAUUGUUUUACUAUAUUAAAAAAUAUCUAAAUAAAUAUGAACACAAAUUAAUAUUAAUAAUCAAAUAUAGCCAUGGAAGUAUUCGAAUCUUCCACCCAUAUAUUAUAAUAUAAUAUAAUUAUAUAAUUAAUAACUGACAAUUUUGUAUAGGUUUUUAUGUUGGGUAGGAAUAUAUAUAUAUAUAUAUAUAAAAGAUAGGAGAGAAAUUUCCUAGUUAAUGUGGACAUAUUAGACUUAAUUAUAUUUAAGUUGUUAUUAAGUUAAGAAAAACAUGUGAUAUUGAAUAUUAAAAAAUUUGUUCUUUUAAUUUAGUUAUUAGGUCUUUCUUAAAUUGACAAUUUUCAAUCUAGCUCAAAGUUGACAAAUUAAUAAAAAUAAUUUUAAAAUAUAGUAAGAAUGAACAUAUAAUAAUUAAUAAAUACAUACCAAUGUUGAUUGUUUGGUGAAAAUCAAAGAUUGGUCGUGGAAUAGACAUAUAUGAAUUACGUUUGAUAUUUGAGAUUCCACAAUUUUUGUUUUAAUUUGAUUAGUAUAAUUUACUUGUCACCCCCAAGAAAAAAACAAUAAUAGAACUUUUUCUUAAAGUUUAAUAAUAUAAUGAAACUUUAACGUUACAAUUAUAAGGUCGAAAUUGAAGCUCCAACGUCUAAGAAUGAAAAUAUAUCAUGUCAUUACCUUGAAAUAAAACUAAGACUCCAUUGACUGUGAGAAUAUUAGUUAAUGAUCGUUUAGGAUCCUCAUAAGUAUGAAAUUUUUCUCAAUAUAAUGAAUCAUAUGCUCCUCCUAAUUAGGUGUGAGACUUCCUCUUACCAGUAACUUUUUAUCUUUCCACCUUUAAAUGAAAACAACGAAUCUAUUUGAUAAACUUAGUUCAAGAAUAAAUCAAGUUUCUAAACAAUCUAGAUAAACAAUUUAAGACAUUCUCUCUUCUUACUUCACAAUCACUAAGAUUGACACACUUAUGAUUUACGACAAACAUCCAAGAUAGUGUAGUGAUAAUUCUUCAAUACAACCAACCCUAAAAGAAAUACAACAACGUAACCUCUUAAAAUUUGCCCAAUGAAGGAGAAUGAAACAAAUGCAUAUCAUCACCAACAAAUUUAUUAGUGUAGGCACAUGGGGGCUUGAGACCCCCUAGGGCCUCAUCUUUAUGCUUUUUGUAAUAUAUAUGUUACACAUACGUAUAUAACUGACAUUAUAUUAAUAUUAGUAGUUGACCAGUUGUAAAUUAGUUUUAUCGAUCUCCUCUAAACCUAGGUUUAAGCCCUACUCUAUACAGUGUAAUGCCACACACUACAAGAUUUGUUGUUUUUUCCAAAAAAAAUUCUGGCAACAUAACAAACAAAAUCGAUAAAGAUAUGUGUUGCCUGCAUAUUUUCAUUACGUGGAAACAUCAUUUCUACCGAUGAAAAUAUAUAUGUGGGAAAAAAAAAAUUUCCAAUGCAUGGUAUGUUUCGUGGGAAGAAUUGCAUUUUUUACCCACGUGUUUACUUGUGUGGGUGUUUAUACUGAUGCACGCCAUAAAAUCGUGGACAGAGAAAAGGACGACAAGCUUUUACCAUGAUACACAUGCUCAAGCAAAAACAAAAUGUCGACAAAGGUUUUACCAACUUUUUUCUUAACAUUUGUUGACAUUUUUUUGUGUCGAUGGAGACUAACACUACAAGAAAUAGGAACAAUUGCGACGUCAAAAACAACGUUGGUGAAAGGCGCAUCGUCAUUGAUCAUCUUUCGUCGAUGCACGCAAUGUUACGUCGUGGAAAGCCCCUUUUCGCGACGUAUAGGAACAAGACGUUGUUGAAAGUGUAAAUUUAAAUUUAAUGCGUUCAUUUUUUUCUAACGUGUGGUAGAGUGCAGGUUGGGGAAGAUUAAAUAAUAACUAUUGUUUAAACUUUCCUCGAUAUCACCUUGCCACACAUCGCGAAAAGGGAACGCAUUAAAUUUAAUUUUAUACUUUUCCCGACGCUGAGUGGAGUAAUGUCGCAAAAAGUUUAAUAAUAAUAAUUGUUUAAACUUUCUCUGACGUGCAACCUGCCACACAUCGUGGAAAGUGUCCAUAUUGAAGUGACAAUGGUCACCUUUCCCUAACGUGUGGCAGGAACACGUACGUCGAAAAAAGUCAACAUUAUUUAUUCUCCCUUCAACACAGAACAAAAUGCAAAACAAAAAUAAACCCAAAAUCGACCAAGAGAAAGGGAGGGGAGGAGAGUUGUACCGCUACUGUCGUCGUCCAUCUUCAUCGCCACAUUCAUCGAAAGUGUCCUCUUUUCUUCUCUUUUUCUUUUCCAUUUCAACUUUUUCGUUUCACUGUACCCUUUCAAAUCAUAGCAGAGUCAAAAUACAGAGCACCGCAAAAUGUGUUUAUGAAUCCAAACUGAAACACAAAGUUAAAAAAACUAUGAAGAAACUACAAGAAUAAUAGAAGUAUGCAAUUAAAACAGAACGUAACAAAGCUAGAAGAUGAUGAUGAUAAUGAUGAUGAUAAACAAAGAAAAGAAAACAUAAUGUAAAAGAAAAAAACAAAGUUUAGGUUUUUUCCGACGUGACGUGAGGAAGGGUUUCCUCGACGUGUUGACAAUGUGCGUCGGUGAACGUUUUUCCGUCGUCGACGCGAUUUGUGUCGGAGAAAAUAUUUCUAACGUGUUUUUCCUAAUGUACAUGAUGACGUCGACUGAGACGUCAGAGUAACCUUCCCCAACAUGUUUUGAGAUUUUAUCGAUGUGGGGCUCUAUUGGGGAAAACUCUAUUUCUUGUAGUGUAAAUUUUUUUUUUAUAGUAAACAACUUUAAGAAAUAAUGCGACCACCAAAUCUCUAACAAAAACAAUCAUAUUAGUCUUUUAAAUUUUUUAUAUUUUGGGAUAGUUGGAUUACACGCUUCUAAUUCAAAGUCAAAAAAUUAUUUUUUCUCUUUUUUUUCUUCAAAAAAAAUCACAAUAAUGAUCUAAUAACUAAAAUAAUAUUAUUUUUUAUUUAUAUAUAUAGAUUUAAUUAGAUUUGUUUUUAAAUAUAAAAAAAGACUAAAAUAUUUAUAAAUAUAGAAAAACAUGGUUGAUACAUAUUUUAAUAAUCACUAAUAAAUGCUAAUAUAAAUUUGAUAAACAUCUACAAGUUUCUAUCAUUCAAACUAUUUUUCAACAAAAAUAAUUUUGUCUUUUACAACAAUUUUUUGUUUUUGUUACCUAUUUAAUUUUAAAUAUUAAUUGGAACUAAAAUAGUGUUUAAUUAUUUAAUAAUUAAAAUUUAAUAUUUUAUUUUGAUUAUGAUUGAUCUUAUUUUUUACAACAAUGAUAGAUUUGAUUGUUCUGCUUAACGUUAUUUUUGAAAAGUUCUUCUUUGAUUAUUAAUUUCUAAUUAUUUAAUUAACUAAGAGUUUAAUUAUUCUAACAUAUUAAAUAUUUAUAAUAAGUUCUCAUUUUUUUAUCUUCUAGUUUUAAUCCAUAGAAAUUAAGUUUAUUAUUUAAUUUUCAAGUCAAAUUUGAGUCUUUUUAUAAUGCAUUUAAUUUUUUUUCACAACAUUAUUAUAUUUAAUUCAAGUUGUACAAUAAAUUAACGUUAAUUAUUUUUUAAUCACUUUUCACAUUCUCACACAUUGUCAUGAUCAAAAUAUAUAACUUGUACUUAAAAAUCUAUUUAUAUACAUAUUAUAUAUAUAACUCUCUUUACAAACAUUUAAGUUUUUUUUUGUAGGUUGAGGUUUGCUUCUCUUGAUCUUCAUAUUCAUUGUCUUGCUUUUAUUUAUUUGGGAUUACUUAACCUAAUUUUGAUCAAAACAUUUUCAUUUUCAUUUGUUUGUCUUCGUAUUCAUUUUCAUCUUCAUAUUUGUUGUCUUAUACAAUUUUAAAGUAUUCUUUAGUAAAUAAAAAAGGUUUUUUUUUUAAUCAUCAAAGUAUUAAUUAUUUAAUUAAUUUGAAAUUAAUGGUGAAAAAGUCAACAAAAAAAUAUUUAUACAAAUUAAAUAUUCUAGAUAACUUCUAUGUUUAGAUCUCUAUUGUAGGUUCCAUGAAGUUUUUGUUUUCGUUUUUUUUAAUACGUGAUAUAUAAUAAAUGGAAAACAAAGCUUUUCCACCUAUAUACACAAUUUUUUUUUAAAAAAAAAAAGUCAAAGAAAUGAAAGAAAAAAAAAACAAUGUGAACAUUGCUCAAAUGUCAUAAUUGUUAAAAUAAUACUAAGAAGAAAAACCAAAUUUUAAUUAUAAAAAGGGAGUCAAUUAAUUGUAAAUUUUGCAGUGCCAUCUUCCACAAACAGCUCCCCACUUCAUAAUUUUCUCCUUAUUUCAUCAUUGCAUUAUUAUUAUUCUUCCCUUCAAUCUCUUAGAAUUAGAGAUGGCAAAAGUUGCAAAUCAGCCAUCGUUAAUUCCUAUGCCUUUUCUAGUCAUCUUCUUCGUUUUCUCAAUCUUUUUUGGUUUUGGAAUAACUCUCUCUAAGGCUGUUUCCCAAACCAGAUACUACAAAUUUGAAGUUGAGUACAUGUUUUGGUCCCCGGAUUGUAUCGAAAACAUUGUCAUGGGAAUCAACGGUACGUUUCCCGGUCCACCAAUUAGAGCCAAUGUUAAUGACACCGUGGUUGUUGAGGUGAUUAACAAUCUCUCCACCGAAGGUGUUGUUAUUCACUGGCAUGGAAUUCUACAACGAGGAAGUCCUUGGGCCGAUGGCACUGCUUCCAUCUCGCAAUGUCCCAUUAACCCUGGAGAAAACUUCACUUACGAGUUCAAAGUGGAUAAGGUGAGAAGAAUUAAAAUGUGAAUGUCGACAGAAGUGUCAUGAUUACAUUUGAUAAAAUCUUUUCAUUUAUUGAUUUUUCUUUAUUAUUAUAUAAUUUCUAGCCUGGGACAUAUUUCUAUCACGGUCAUUUUGGGAUGCAACGAGCAGCUGGGUUGUAUGGAUCCUUAAUAGUGGAUCUAGAGGAAGGAAAAAAAGAGCCCUUCCAGUACGACGAAGAGAUCAAUUUAUUACUUAGUGAUUGGUGGCAUGCAAGUGUCCACGAGCAAGAAGUUGGCCUUAAAUCAAACCCAAUGCGUUGGGUUGGAGAGCCUCAGGUAGUACAUGUGUCUAAGUAAAUUAUGUUCAUAUUGACAAUCAAAUUGAAAAGGACAAAACUUAAUAUUUUUCAUCAAAAUUUGACCUAUAUUUUACCAAAGUAGAUAAUAAAAUAAUGAAACUUAUAGGUAAAAACGAAAGUAUUUUCAAGCUUAACAAUUUUAUUUAACAACCAUCUCUUUCUCCCUUUUAGAAUUUGGAUAUCGAAAUAUUUUGAAAUAAUAUUAUCACAAAGUUAAUUGAAAUUGCUCAAUCAACUUAGCUAACUCAUCUUUUUAACAUCUUUUUAACAUUUGUCACCUCAUUUGCUUUCAUUAGUUAACUAACAAAUUUUAGAGACUAUUUAAAACCAUUUCUUAAACUCUAUAAAUUAAAGUUUUCAUUUUAAAAUUUUGAGAUUAAACACAUACAUAUGGACUAGUUCAUUUUAUAAUUUUAAUUUUUAGCCAAUUUUCUAAUGGAAAUAUCAAUUAAAAUUUUAGCCCAAAUUUAAAGGACAACAAUUUUAGCCCAAACUAGAAUAUAUAUCAUCAUAAAAUUAACAAAAUAUCAUAAAGUAUAACUAUUUUAUUAUAACUUUGAAACCAUAUAAGAAAGUAGAUAAUAAUAAAAAUUCAACCAUAAGGCUAAAGUUGAUUUUUAUUUUCUUGAAAUUUGUCGUUAGUAUAUUUGUUUGAUUCAUGUAAAAUACUUGAGAUUUAAAUCUAAAAUUUCUUUUCCUCUUGUUAUUGAAGACCAUACUCAUAAAUGGGACAGGGCAAUUUAAUUGUACAAGCUUAGAAAAAUACAACACGAGUUCAGAGCAUUGUGAGUGGAAAGAUCAAUGUGCACCAUUUGUGCUCAAAGUCGAACCCAAUAAGACUUAUAGGAUAAGAAUUGCAAGUACCACUUCAUUGGCUGCUCUCAAUUUUGCCAUUUCGGUAAUAUAAUCUCUCUCUUAAGUAUAUUAUUUUUACAACAAUGUAAAGAUAAAAGAUCGAAUCAAAUGUUCCACCUUAGGGAUGAAAACUUAUAUCAUAUGUUUAUCUUUGAAUUUUCAGGUGUAUGUCUAUUUAACUAAAUAAACAAAUUGUUCGUUUAUAAUACGUAAUGAAAAUGAAACUUUUAAAGACAAUGGAUUGUGAAUUUAGAUUUUCUUUUUUCUAAUCAUUAAUUUUUCAUUAUUUUUAUAGUUUUGAAAAAAGAAAAAGUUCCAUCAUUUUUCUUUUCUUUUUCAGAAUCACACAAUGCUGGUGGUAGAAGCCGACGGUAACUACGUUCAGCAAUUUGUAACCUCCGAUAUCGACAUUUAUUCCGGCGAGUCCUACUCUGUUCUCGUCACCACUAACCAAAGCACAACGCAAAACUACUGGGCUUCCAUAGGCGUCCGUGGUCGGGAGCCUAAAACAUCGCCGGCACUCCUCCUCUUCAACUACCUUCCCAACUCCGUCGCCAAAUUACCCAUUUCUCCACCGCCAGAAAUCCCCAAAUGGAAUGAUUACGAUCGAAGUAAAAACUUCACAUAUAGAGUCUUAGCCUCUGCCAUGAACACAACAAAACCACCACCAAUCUUCACUCGCCGGAUCUCCCUCCUUAACACCCAAAAUCUUAUGAACGGCAACUUCAUAAAAUGGGCAAUCAACAACAUUUCAUUAACCCUCCCCUCAACCCCGUACCUCGGCGCCAUUAAGUUCGGUCUGAACUCCACGUUCAACCAGACCGCCCCACCAGAAACAUUCCCAAAGAACUACAACAUCAAAAUCCCACCGCCGAACCCGAACACGAACACCGGAAACAGCGUUUAUCGGUUCCGAUCGGGGGAAAUAGUGGAUGUGAUUCUACAAAACGCCAAUGCGUUAAGCAACAAUACAAGUGAAAUUCACCCUUGGCAUUUACACGGCCAUGAUUUUUGGGUUUUGGGGUAUGGAGAGGGGAAAUUUUCCGACGAAGAUGAGACGAAAUUGAAUCUGAAAAACCCACCGUUGAAGAACACGGUGGUGAUUUUCCCAUUUGGGUGGACGGCGAUUCGAUUUGUGGCGGAUAAUCCCGGCGUUUGGAUAUUCCAUUGCCACAUUGAACCUCAUUUGGAUAUGGGAAUGGGGGUUAUCUUCGCGGAAGCAGUUGAAAAGGUCAGGGAAAUUCCUCCGUAUGCUUUGGCUUGCGGCCGCACUGCCACACCUCAGGUUGUUCCAAUAAUCCCACGACCCAACCCACCGGGACUAGAUAACCCAUAUUACAUCAUUUGGAUUGGGUUAGUUAUAUUUUUGUGUGUGAUUGGAUUGUGUUAUGUAUGUCUUUAUCGUAUCCGAUUCAAUAAUUUGAGUUGGAGACCUUAUUUAGGUAUUUCGGAGAGUCAAUCCAACCAAAUUGAAUUUUCAGAUUUGUCUCAAUCCAACCCAAAUCCAAACCCAACUCAUGAAGAGCCCUAACGAGAACAAUGAUUGGUAUAUUCUUCCUUCGAAGCAAAUCUCUAGAACAGCCUAGAACACAAUUUUUUCGGUGUAAUUUGGAGUAUGUAGUUUGUUCGGUAUUUUUAAGAAAUCAUUUUUUUUUUUAUUGCUUGUUCAUUUGUUGACCUUUUUAAAACUUUUUUGUUAUUUACUAGAAUUUCACUCAUGUGUUUCUUUGAACAUGGAAAUUAUUACUGUGGUUAAGGUAAUUUGGAUUAAAAGAAACAACUUACUAAAUUUAAGAUUUAUGGAAAUUACAUCAACUAAAAUUUGGAUACAGUUGGAUAUUGUUCACUUCUUCAACCUUUAUUGUUAAUGCAGCCUAAAAGUAAAAUUGAAUGAAAUUUGAAAUACAUUGAACAAAAGACCAUUUAAUUUUAAUCUUUGGAGUGAGUGAAGUGUUCUAAUGUGAACAAAAAAAAAUGUAAUGGUAAAAGUGAGGUGUGUGAUCAUUUUCAUCCUUUUGUUUUGUAUAAAUGAUCUAAAAUUGUGGAUUUGAAUUUGGGAAAAUAUCAACUUAAUUACACCUUAAAUUAUAGGGUUUGCUUGGUUGUAUUAAUUUAGAUUUUCAACUAAUAAUUAUAUCAAUUUAAUUUUUAAACUUUGGAGUUAUCUAUCCAUCUAAGUCUCAAAAUAAUUUUGUAUCAAUUUUAGGCUCUAAACUAUUUUAAGUGUAUCAAUUUCAAUCUCAAACUUACAUGAUUGUAUCAAUUUAACCCUUAAAUAUAUGUUUUAUUUGGAUAUACACUUAUGAAAGUCGUACAUUUAUGAAAGUUCAGAGUUUAAGUUGAUCCAGUUGUGAAAGUUCAAGGUUUAAAUUAAUACAAUUAUUAGUAGUUCAACGUUUAAAUUGUGAAAGUUCCAAAUUCAAAUUUUAAUUUUAUAAAAGUUUGGAGUUUAAAUUGAUACACUCUCAAGGUUUAUGGUUUAAAUUUUUUUUGAAAAAGAUAAGGUUAAGUGUACCGAAGCAUCCCUUUUAGCACCAUCCUCAUCCUCUAUCAAAUAUAUUUAUUCAUUGAAGUGCAAGGAACAUGAUGAUCCAAAAGAACAAGGCUAGAGGUAAGCCCAAAAAAAAAAAAAAACAACGAACAGAGAAGAAUAGUCAAGUAAAAACACUAGAGUUUAGAGCGAUUACAAUUGGAGAGUAGUUUGAAAAAAUCUUGUUUUCAAAAGACCAACAUCCGAUGAGACUGCAUAUAUUCUCUUCUGUGUUGAUAAUUCUAGCAAAGUUUAUGGUUUAAAUUGAUACAACUAUUAAUUCAAUGUCUAAAGUGAUUGUACAUGAUAUUUGUACGCUCUACAAAUUUAUAUAGCAUAUAUAUCUUGUCGGUUUAAGGAAAGAAUUAUUUUAGACAAUUCUACCCCUUGCCAAAUUUUAAAUUUACAACAUUAUCUUAUACUUUAAAAUAAAUGUUAGUGGUUGCUUAAAAUUUUUUUAAAAAAUUAUAAAUUAUAUUAUUUUAUAAUUGAUUUACUAUUUUUUAUUUAUUUAAUAUUAAUGAAUAUAAUAUAUAUGUAUUAAUAAUUAAGGAAGUUAUCACUCACAACUCACAUCAAAUGAAGUAUAAUAUAAAUAAGGAAAUGAUUUGAAUUUGAUUUCAAAAGCUAUAUAUAAUUAAUAAUUAUGAUAUAAUUGUCCUAAAAAUAUACGAAAACCUAAUCAAGAAAAAAAAUCAUAAUCUAGUACAUUCGUGAAAUUUUCUAGUAGAUUUAGGUUUUUUUUGUCUAAAUAUUUCUAAUUUAAAAGAGUUGAAGAAAAAUAUGAUUUUAGAGACAGAAAAUAGAAAAAUUAUAUAAUAUUAUUCAUUAUAAUAUAGUUUUAUCUGUGUACGAAGUUGAAAAAAAACUAACAGUUUUUCUCUUUUUCUUCUUCUUCAAUUUUUUUGUGGAUAGUUCAAGUUCAAGCUAAAGAUGAAUUUUCUUAUUUAUCUUUUUCUUUAUCCAUUUUAUUUUAAGAUUUGAAUUGUUGUAUUACAGUCAAUUUAUAAAGCCAUUUUCAUAAAAUUUAUUUUUAGAUCACAUUUAGAACUAUAUUUUUUUGUGCAAAAUUAAUGUGAACAUGUGAUCAUAGAUUUUUUUUAGAGAUAACGUGAGAAUAGUAAAAAAUUAGAUUAAAAAAUAGAAAAUUCAAAAAAUAUUAAGAUUUAUAGCAAAAUCACGGUUGUAGACUUUUUUUAACCGAUUAUACCAUUUGUAUAGGAAAUUUCUUUUCCGUGAGAUACAAUGUUUUUGCAUAGGUAAAAAUGAUACAUGAUAUCACAGAUUUACAGAUUCAGUGUAUUUGCAAAAAUCGUUAAUUUUGAAAAAAUCUUAAAUAUUUUGAAGUUAAAUUUUAUAACAUCCACUAAAAUCAUCAAUUUUGAAUUCUUUUAAACUAUCUUAAAAAUAAUGGUAAACAUAAAUUCAACAUUUUUAGAUUAUUUAUAUUUCUAAAUAUUUCUAAAAAAUUUGAAUUUAAAUAACUCCAAAAUACAUUAAUAACAAUUUGAAUUUAAAAUUUUACCAUCAUUCCUUCAAAUUGUGCUAAUUAAGAUUAUCCAUUUAUUUUAUUUAAAAAAAUCACUCAUAAAAUCAUGCUAUUUAGUUUAGUUGUCGCUAAAAUAAUGACAAACAUAAAUUUAAAAUUUUCAGAUUAUUUAUAUUUCAAAAUAUUUAUAAAAAUUUGAAUUUAAGUACAUCAAAAAUAUAUAUUGUUAAUAACAAUUUGUAUUUAAAAUAGUAUCAUUUCCUAAAUCGUGCUAAUUACAAUUAUUCACUUAUGUUAUUAAAAAAUUAUAUUAUCCCCUAAAAUCAUGCUAUUUGAUUCAUAUCUCUAAAAUAAUGACAAACAUAAAUUUAACAUUUUCAAAUUAUUUAUAUUCUAAAAUACUUAUAAAAAUUUUGAAUUUAAAUACCUCCAAAAUACAUAUUCUUAAUACCAAUUUGAAGUUAAAAUUUUGUCUUCCCCUAAAAUCGUGCUAAUUGGUUGAUUUUUAUUUUUAAAAAAUUAUUUUAUUGUGCUAACUAUAUUGAAUAAUUAUUUAGACGUUAUUUUUUUAAUUUACUUUAAUAUUCACAUUUAUUUUCAUUCUGUGAGAGUCUCAAAUACACCUUAAGUGAUCCACGAUCCUUAAAAUUUCAUAGUCAUUCAUUAUACAAACAUAUUACAAUUAUUUGGCACUAUUCCAUUUUCAAAUAUUAAUAUUUAUUUGCUCAUGUAAUGACAAAUAUAAAUAAUUUUUGUAUAUUUUAAACAAUUUAUUAAAUAAUACAUAAUAUAGUUUUAAUAAAAAAUUGAAUUUAAAUUUUAGAUCCUCCCCUAAAAUAAAGCCAAAUAUAAGUACAAGAUUUUCACAUUUUUUUAUAUAUUUUAAACAAUUUAUUAAAUAAAACAUAAUAUAGUUUUAAUAACAGUUUGAAUUUAAGUUUUAGAUCAUUUCCAAAAAUAAUGUUAAAUAUAAAUACAAUAUUUUUACUUUUUUAAAAAAAAAUCUUAAAUAAUAUAUAAUAUAUUUUUAAUAACAAUUUAAAUUUAAAUUUUAGAAUUGUAACGAUGCCUCAAUAACAUUUUUGUAAUUAUUUAAAUCUUCUUCCUUUAAGUUUUAUUCGAGAUUAUUUAAAUCUUCUUCCUUUAAGUUUUAUUUUCUUUUCUCGAAUAAAACCUAUGUGAGUGUUUUUCUUGCAAAUCAAGAGAGGAGAAAAGUUUCAACGUCAGCAACAAAAAUCAUGGGUCUUGUGCCAUUACAUACAAAAGAAUGCAUUUUUUGUGUUCUUAAAUCCCCUCAUGUCCAUCAGAAUGCAAGAUUCCAUUUUGAAAUCAGAACUCACCAACGCCUCAUUGAUAUUUUGUACCCUACUGCCCAAACGAUUGAUUCUUUGACGCAACUCGACCUUCCAACUAUUAUUGACGUAGGAGGAAGAAAUUGAAGGUUUUCAAGGUUUUGAAGUUGAUUUGAAGAAGUUGAAGGUUUUGGUAGAACAAACCCUAAAAAAUUAGCAAACGAAAUAUUUUAGAUAAAUGAAACUUGAUCUAAUAAAACGGGUUUAAAAUAUUCAUAUAAUAACAAAAUAUUUAUUGUUUUGUAAAGUUUAUUAAUGAAAUAUUUUGAUAGCUUUUUUAAAAUAUUAAUUAAAAUUUUAUUAAUGAUAAAUAUAAUUAGUUUAAUACAAGUUUAAAAUAAUGAAAAGGAAUAAAGAUAUUUUAGAAACUUUAUUAAACAUAUGUUUUUCCGAGAUCUUAUAAAAAUAAAAUAAAUGUUAUGUAUUAGAUAAAUAUUUAUUUUCGAAGUUCUAAAAAAUAAAUAUAUAAACAUUUAUUAAAUAUAAUUUAGGAUAUAAUUUUAUUAAAUAAAUAUAAUAAAUAUUUAUUAGAUAUAAAUGUUCCAUUAGGAUACAACUAAUUGGAGAUAUUAUGAAUAAAAAUUUCAUUGAUAUAGGAAAAUUUUGGUUUAAUAUUCUUCAGCAAACAAAUGUUGCCAUUCAAUUAGAAUCUAACAUAAUAUCCAACUUUGCAAAAUAAAUUGUGUUUCACAAAUCUAGUCACCUUACAAAGGUCUUAUACGUUCAUAAUACUACGUUGAAAAUCAUAACAUAUCACGAAAUCACGGGCAAAGGAAUAAAAAAGGCGCACGUCAUGUACAUUUCAAUUUUCAAUUGUAUUCUUCAAAAUUAAAGUUUUGUAUUAUAUAUCGUAUAUUUUUUUCUAAAUUAAGUGAUAACUAUCUUAAGAAUAAGGCAUUAAGCAAAAUCAUAAGCUUUCAUAAUCAAUCUAAUAUUAUCAUAAAAGGUAAAACAAUUAUUUAAUGUUAUAAUUUCAGUUUAACACAUCUAAUCUCUGAUCUCAACAUUCAACAUAUUAGUAAUGAAUGACUAAUCAAUUAACAUCAAAUAGCAUAUAACUCAACAAUAUUCAUUAUAGCCAACAUGAGUUUAGCUCAACUGGCACCUGUAUGUUCGUGUGGACAAGAGGUCCUGGAUUCAAAUCGCACAAGUGAAAACCAAGGAAUACUGAAACGAAAGGGACAAGUCUUUCAAAAACCAAAAGGUUAUGUCCAAAAGUUAAUUAUUUAAAUGUGAACAAAUGAAUAAACAGUUGAGACUAAAUUUAAAACUUUAUUAAAAAUGGAGAAUUAAAAUGGAACAAACUCCAAAAUACAAACACCCCAUUCAUAAUUUAACCAAGAAAGAAGAGUGCUAGCAAAUAACACAACAAGAGAAUAGAGUAAAUUACUUCAACAAACCCUAAAUAGCCACAUUUUCUAUAGCUUUUUCAGGAGUAUUUUAGGGAUUUCAAUUCUAGGGCUUUUGAGUGGGGUUCCGAAUAAGCGCUUUCGCAGUGCCACCGCAAGCCAUAGCGUUCGUCGGAAUUCUCCCAACCUUAUGAACUCCUUCGGCGAAUAUAACCCCCAUUCCCAUAUGCAAAUGAGGUUCAAUGUGGCAAUGAAAAGCCUAAACCCCUGGAUUAUCCGCCACAAAUCGAAGCACCGUCCACCCAAAUGGGAAAAUCACCACCGUAUUCCUCAACGGCGGGUUCUUUAGAUUCAAUUUCGUCUCAUCCGCAGCAGAGGAAAAUUUCCCCUCUCCAUACCCCAAAACCCAAAAAUCAUGGCCGUGUAAAUGCCAAGGGUGAAUCUCGCUAUGCUUGUCGUUCAAUGUGUUGGCAUUUUGUAGAACAACAUCCACGAUUUCCCCUAUUUGGAACCGGUAAACGCCGUUUCCGGUGAUGGUGUUUCUGUUCGGUGGUGGCUUGUUGAUGUCGUAGUCUUCUGGGUAUGUUUCCGGUGGGGGAUUCUGGUCGAAGGUGUGGUUUAGCCCGAUUUUAAUGGCGCCAAGGUACGGCGUUGAGGGGAGGGCUAAAGAGACGUUGUUGAUUGCCCAUUUUGUGUAUCCGCCGUUCAUUUUAUUUUGGGUGUUGAGGAGGAAGAUGCGGCGGGUGGAUUUUAGCGGUGGCUUUGGACUGCCCAUGGCAGCUAAGAUUUGGAAUGUGAAGUUUUUGCUUCGGUCGUAAUCGUUCCAUUUGGGGGUUUCGGGUGGCGGAGAAGUGGGUAAUUUGGAGACGGGGUUGGGGAGGUAGUUGAGGAUUGUUAGGCCUGGAGGGGUUUUGGGAUCACGGCCGCGGAUACCGAGGGAAACCCAGUAGUUCUCCGAUGGUUUUUGGUCGGUGUUGAUGAGGACGGAGUAAGAUUCGCCGGAAUAAAUGUCGAUGUCGGAAGUUAGAAAUGGUUGAACGUAGUUGCCGUCGGCUUCUACCACUAAUAGUUUGUGCUUCUGAAGAAGAAAAAAGAAAUUACUAUACAAUUUUAAAAAUAAAUAAAUUCUGAAUAAUUAGCAAGUUGAAUUUGACGUUUUAGUUUUAAUACACAUAGUAAAAAGAGAGAGAUAGUUACGUACCCCGAUGGCAAAGUUGAGGGCAGAGAGUGAAGUGGUACUUGUAAUUCUAAUCCUAUAAAUCUUAUUGGGUUUGACUUCGAGGAUAAAAGGUGCACAUUGUUCACUUCCACUCAACUUACAUUGCUCCAUUUUCUUCAUGUUCAUGUAUUUAGCUGCAAUUGAACAAUUGCUUUGCCCUCUCCCAUUUAUGAGUAUGGACUUUGAACAAGAAGAAGGGGACAUAAAAAUACAUUUAAUUAAACCUCUCAAAUAGCAUUAAUAGAAUCAACAAGAGAAAGUACAAUAAUUAUAUCCCUAACAAAAUAAUUUACCUAAAUCCAAUUAACCAAAUCAAAACCCUUACGACACUUUAUCUUCUAUUUAGGUUGGUUUAAUUUCCAAUUCUUUUUACUUUUUUUAACUUCAUUACAUGGUGAGAUUUCAUCUAAGGAUAUUAUGGUAACUUUUGAAAAUAAUAUAAAAUGUUUUUUUUUAGAAAAAAUAAUUCAACAAUGAUAAUUGGAAGUUUGCAAAAAAGUUUAAGAAACAAUGUCUAAUAUAAAAAGUAAUUGUUAUGUGUAUAACAAAAACCAUGUUUCAAGCAAGUAAGGUAUUUAUAAGAGGGACAAUAUUACUUUCCUCAAUAUGUUUUAUUUUGGUAGAAAUUAUACCUUAUGUUAUUUAUGUGUCUCAAAAAGAGACAUAUAUGUUUGAUUUGUUGUUUCUUUUAACGGAAAAAAAAAAAAAAAAACUAAACGUGUUCGAACUCUUAUAGUUUGAGCUAUCUUGUGUUUUUAGUGUAGAGUAAGAGAUUUAAAUCAAUUUCAAUUUUUAGAGAUAAAAGUAAUGUGAAUGUCAAUGAAUCAAACUCACUCCGUUAUGUAAUUUUGACGUUGAAUUUUAUUGGAAAAUUGUUUUAAAUGGUAAAACGGUUGAAAAUACUUAUAAAUACAAUAAAAUUUCAUGGGCUUUCAGUCAUAGACAACUAUCCAUGAUAUUUUGCUAUAUUUAUAAAUAUUUUUGUUUAUUUUGUUAUAUUUGAAAACAAUCUAAUUUUAUAAAAUGUUUUAGUUAUUUUUUUGUCUAAGGAAGUUUUGUUUUUAAAAUGCCAUUGAGAGAAUAUUUUGUGGACAUUUUUGUUUGUUUGUAGUUAAAGCAGCAAACAUUUUGAAUAUUAAGAAAUAAUUAUUAAAAGUAUAAUUAUACCAUUUCGACAAAAAAAUCUAACAUUAGUUUAGUUAGAUAAUUAUUAAUAAUAAAGUAUAAUUAUACCAAAUUGCUACCUAACAAUACUUUUAUUUUUUGCUUUAAAAAAAAUAUAAGCUUAUAAUAUUAUUUUCACAAAUAAUUAUCUUCAUUAAUUUUAUUAAUCUACCAUUUAGAUAUACAAAAUCAAAGUUUUGAUAAAUAAAUUUGUAAAAGUAGAUUUUGUUGUAAAAAUUUAACAAAAGAAUCCUACACAAAUGUUUCAAUUAUCUCUCUUUUCAUUUGAGAUAUGCUUUAUUUUUAUACAUAAAAUUUUAAUUUAAACACUGUCCUUCAAAAAAUAUCCUAAAAUAUAAUAUUGAAACAAACUCCAUAAUUCUUUCUUUCUUUAAUUUCUUCUUCUUCUUCCUUUUUUUUUUUUUUUUUUUUUUGGUUAAAGUAGGACUUAAUUUUUAAACCUUGACCAUGAUGCCAAUAUUCAUAUUUUUGAACUUGUAGAAAUAAAAACACUCUCAAAGGUGUAUAUAUAUAAUAAUAAUAAUUUUCAAAAUAAAUAGAGGGAAUAUAAAUGAAAGUUUUGUUAGAGAAGAGUAUAGAAAACCUACCUCACAUCUCAUGAAUAUUCAGUAUAAUUUAAGAAAAUAUCAUAUUUGAUGGUUAGUCCAAACAUAAUUAGGAGAUAAAGAUAUAACUUAAACUACCUGUGGUUCACCAAUCCAACGCAUUGGGCUAGAGCUAAGGCCAAUUUCUUGCUUUAGAAUGCUUUCGUGCCACCAAUCACUAAGCAACAAGUUGAUUUCUUCGUCGUAAUGGAACGGCUCUUUCUCUCCUUCUUCUGGAUCCACUAUCAAGGAUCCAUAUAACCCAGCCGCUCUCUGCAUACCCAAAUGACCAUGAUAGAAAUAUGUCCCAGGCUGCCAAACGCAAGUUCAACAAAACAAAUAAAUUUUGUUAGAGAUUAUAUUUUAUGUCACUUUAUUCAGCAUCGACAUUUCGAAACCUUCUCACCUUAUCUACUACGAACUGGUAAGUGAAGGAUUCGCCUGGGUUAGUCGCACACUGCGAGAUGGAAGCAGUGCCAUCGGCCCAGGGAGUUCCCUUCUGUAGGAUUCCAUGCCAAUGAAUGACAACAUCUUCAGUGGAGAGCUUGUUAAUCAUCUCUACAACCACAGUGUCACCAACAUUGGCUCUAAUAGUUGGCCCGGGAAACUGGCCGUUGAUUCCCAUGACGAGGUUUUCUUUACAGUCCGGGGACCAAAACAUGUAUUCAACUUCCCAUGUGUAGUGUCUAGUUUGGGAAACAGCAUCAGAGAGAGUUAUUCCAAACCCAAAAAUGAUUGACAGAAGAAAGAACAUGGCUGGAAAAGGCAUAGGAAACAAUGGCUGAUUUGCAACUUUUGUUGCCAUCUCUUGGUAAAGAGAUGGAAGGGAAGAAUAAUAAUGCAAUGAGCAAAAAAGAGGAAAUUGGGAGUGGGAAGUUUGUGGAAGAUACCACUGCAAUUUACCAACGGCUCCUCCUUAAUUUAUAAUGAAAUUUUGUGAGGUUUUGAUAAUACAAAUUUAUGUCAACUUAUUUUUUCUUUUGUCUUCAUUUGUUUGAUACUUUUUUUUAUUGGUUUUAUAGUUCUAAAGGUUUUUUCUUCUAUGGAAAACUUGACGUUUAUAUGAUGGAUAUUGAGAACCUAGAGAGAGAUUUAAAUGUAGAAGUUUGUUUGGAUGUUUAAUUUUUUUAAUUAAAAUGUAUGUAUAACAUAAUAUAAUAACUUUUUUUUAAGAAUUUGCAUAGUAGAAAGGUACUGAAAUUAUGUGUUAUGUAAGAUUGUCUUUGCUAAGCUUUAGGUAAUCUAGAUACUAUUAAUUUCAUAUAAUAAAGUUUAUCUAAAUUUUUUUUAAGCUGAAGUAAAUUUAUUUGUUCUAACAUUUUCAUCUUAUAUUUUUAUAUCAAUUAGUUUAUAUUAACUUUAUUUUUUUUGUUUUUUUUAUCAUAAAUAAAUUUAUAUUAUAUAUUUUUUCAUUUAUACAUAUUUUAUAUUUCACAUUUUCAUUUUUUUAUUUAAACAUGAAUUUUUAAUGCAUGCAUGAGAGUCUUUCUAAAUACAAAAGUAUUAUGCCUAAAAGAAUAUACAAACGUAUUAGGUAGUUGUGGGAAAGAUAAAACGAACAUUGUAGUUUAAUAUAUAAUUAAAAAGAAUCCAAAUAUUAUUUGACUUUAUCUAAAGUUAAUUAUUAAUUACAUAUAAUUAAUCACAACCUUGCAUUAAUUUAUAUUUAUAUAAAAACAAGUGAAAUAGAGAAAGUGGAUAAAAAAAAAAAAGAAAAAUCCACCAAACUCAAUCAAAAUAUCAAUUUCUUUUUGCUAUAUUUUUCUAUCUCUAACGAUUUACCUAAAAAAAUGAGAAAAAUGAUGGGAAAAGGGUUAGUAAAAGAUUCUUCAAAACAUGAAAAGUCUUAAGAACCGUGAUUAAAAUAGAUAUUAACAUUAAUAAAAUGUUUGGUUAUAAUUAGAAAUAUUGAGGUUUCAAACCUUACGAAAAUAUCAAUAAAAAAUUUGAAUAAAUUAUGGAAUGAAAUCGUUAUAAUUAAUUAAUAAAAGUACUUUUAUUGUGACUUAAUUAGAAUUAACCAUUUUUAAUAGCAAUGUCUAUAAAGUAAGACAACCAUUUAGGUGCCUAUUGUUAGUGCAUGUGCAAAUGUUAAUAAGAUAACCUAGAUUUAAAAAUAAAUGGAAAAGUAGUUACCCAAGUUUAAGAAUGCUUUCGAGUGAAAUAUUCCACGAGGUUAAAAGUAAGUUGAAUUUUUUGGUUGGAGGAAAAAUACAAAUAUAACAAUUAUAUAAUCAAAAUAAUUAAACAUACAACAACAUUUUAAAAAAAUUAUAAAUAUAUAGCAAAAUCUAUUAAAACCUGUCAAAGAAAGAGUUAUCUCAAUAGAUUUUGCUAUAUUUAUAAAUUUUUAAAAAUGUUUUUAUAUAAUUAAUAAUUAUUUCUAAAACUGCUAUCCAUUAUAAUUAUCCUAAUUAAAAUUUAGAGCUCUUCCUCUAAAAUUUCGAUUUAUAUUGUCCAUGACUUUCCUACGUGUCAUUCAUUAUUGUUAUAUUUAUUUAUAUUAGUAGGUUAAAGAGUUGACCUUUUACUAUAUUUAAUAUUAUUUAUUAAUAUGUCAAUAUGAACUUUUAAUUAAUUUAAGGAAGCCCUAAUAAUUCCAUUAAGAGAUUUUUUUUUUCAUCAAUAUAUAUAUAAUGUAUUUUUAACAAAGCUAUAAUAGAGGUUGAGAUUAGAAGAAAAGUCUUCUAAAGUAAAACAAUGAGAGACAAAACAAAUAUAGACAAAAAAAAAUCAUAAAAUUGCAUCACACACAAGAUCAAACGAACCAAAAAUAUUUUUUAAAAAUUGAAUAUUCAAUCUCACUCUCACAUGUUACUUCAAAUUAAUGUACUCAUUAACUAAUAAAAGUACUUUACCUAUAUAUAUAUAUAGGACAUGAGGUUUUUUAAAAAAAAAAUCAUUAUCGACGCCUUCUCCUCUCAUCGUCUAUUUUAAAAAAAAAGUCUACACAAAUACACGUGUAAGAAUUUAUUAUAUAAUAAUUUUAUUUAUUAAAAAUUUAUAAGAUGUAAAUCGAUCCAUAUCUAAAAGUUUAGAACUAAGGGCUAAAGUUACGUAAUUUUAUAAUUACGUUUGGUGAUAGAAAAUUAAGGUUUUAGGGGCAUAAUUGCAGUUAGAAUUAUAUGAAGGGUGCUUUUUGCAAUUACUUCAUACACUCAACAUCAAAGUGAGUGUUUAGUACACAAGGCAUGUCAUUCAUUGUAUGUCCACUCCACAUAUAUAUACAAUACAUAUAUGCUCAAAGGUGUUAUUAACAAAAAUGAUAAUUUUUUGAAAAAAAUAUCUUAUAUCAAAACAACUAUGUCUUUGUCCUUACUAUCAGUUAAUUUCCAUCUAUAUCUUUAUUCUUUUACAUUUCUACAUUUUCAAUCUUUUUCAAGGGGCAAAUUGACAUUUUAUGCCUUUUUUAUAUUUAUGAUAAUUAAUUGCAACCUUAAUUUUUAUAAAUAUAUAUAACAAAACUCUAAUAUAUUUACAAUCGUGUAACAAAAUCAACAAAAUUCAUGAAGCUAAUAAAAUAUUUUCAUAAAUUCCAUAUUUGUUCCUGAUAUUGCAAAUGAUUCGUCGCUUCUCUUUCCUCUUCUUCUUUACAAUUUUUUUAUCUUCUCUUCCAGAUUUCUUCAACUCCUUUGAUGUUCUUUCUUCUAUUUUUAUUCAUCUUCUUUUUCUUUCUUUCCUUCGACUCCUCUUCUAAAUAUUAAUUUGAUAUGAUCUAAACAAUCGCUUACCUCAACAUGAUCAAAUAGCAUGGUCAACACGAUUGUUUAGAUUUAAAGUCAUUUUCCAUCGAUUAAAAAGAACUACACGAUCGUGUGGAAACGAUUUAAGUGAUCACUUACCUAGUCAACAUGAUAUAUAUAUAUCAUUUAGCAUGGUUAACACGAUCAUUUAGAUUUGAAGCCAUUUUUUCUAUCGUUUCAAAAGAACUACACGAUCGUGCAGAUAUGAUCUAAACGAUCGCGUACCAUAGUCAGCUCGAUCGUUUAGUGUGGUUAACACGAUCUUUUAUAUUUAAAACAUUUUAUUUCAUCGUUAAAAAGAACUACACAAUCGUGUGGAUACUACCUACACGAUCAUGUAUCAUGUUCUAUGUCGAAGUGUCUCAUGAUCGUUAAUUUAGAAAAAGAAUUAUACAUGUCCAUGCGGCCGAUUAAUCGUGUGUUGACUAAGAUAUUUUUUAUAUAUUUUUUUCAUCAUUGGCCCGUAACUUCUUCCAUUUUCAAAAUUGUUCUAUACAACGUAAAUAUUAUGUUAAUUUAUUAUAUUUUUUAAAAACACUAAACAAAACAAUAAUUUGGGUGUGAACUAAUAAUGUUUCAAUAAAAGAAUAUAUACAUUUUUUAAAUUUUAAAAAGGGAAUGAUUAAAGCUCAUAUUUUGUUUUCGUAUAAUUUUUCGAUAAAACUCAUAAUUUAAGGGAAGGGAAGGGAAUGACUAUAAAAACUCAUAUUUUGUUUAUAUUUAUAUAUUUGGUUAAAUUACAUUUUUACCCUUGAAGUUUAAAAUUUGUACGAUUAGUUCUAAUGUUUCAAAUUUGCAACAAAAAAAAAAGUACUCAAAUUUUAGAAAAUGCUCGAUUACGAUCCAAUUGGGAUCGGUUAAAUAGACAACAAAGAUGAGACAAAUUUACAAACUUUAGUAUGAUGUGUGACGAAAAACGAUUCCAUGAAGAUGUGGCUACAUUCAAAUAGUACCAUUAUUUGUAAGGUGAAGUUUUUUUCGUCAAUCUCUUCCCUCUUCUUACAAAAUUUGUUGUUACCAAUUCUUCCCAUCACUUGUCUACUUUUCUUGAUUUUGACAAGAGAGAAAAAAAGUUGGUUGACAACAUCCUCGAGAGGGAAGGGUGGGAAGAGAAAACAUUUUUUAAAAUUUUUAUUUUCUGAAUAAUAGAUUAAAGUUAACAAUAAUAGUUAAUUUAAUGUCUAAAUUGUGAGGAAGUUGAUUGUUUAAUUUUAAAAUGUGGAGACAUACUUUAGGAUCAAAGGUAUAAUUUCUUUAUAUUUUGAAAGCUACCAAAUUUAGUUCACUACCUCUAUUUUAUUUUUUUUCAUUUGUUUUUCACGUGGGAACAAUGAAAAUAUGUAGUUUCCUUUCAAAUUGGAAAGCAAUUCUGUCUGUUGGCUACAAAGACAAAAUACUAUUUGUUUUUCUUUUUAUUGUCUAAAUAAUAAUAAUACACGUUAUUGCUAUGUAGCUUUUAAUGAAGUAUGUUAGAAGUGUUAGGUGUGUCGGAGGAUAGAGGUAAAUUUAAACUUAACUUUUGUGAAAGUUGGGAGGUUGGACAUAGCGUAUUCAUGAAUUAAGCUCGAGUAAGUUGGAGCAUUUGAGAUUAGAAAUAUAAGACUAAUCAAUCUUAUUUAUGUUUUAAGACUUUUAACGAGAUUGACAAGAGUUGGAUGAAAAUUAGGAAUAGGUUUUAAUCGAUUAAGCACAGAGAAGAAAAUUUUCAAUUUUUAGAGGUUGCAAAAUAUCACGACAAUAAUUAUGGACGACUAAGGUGUCCAAGCAAGAGAUGUAUGAAUUCAAAUUGAGACUCAUUAGAGGGUGUGGAGCGACAUCUAUUAACAACUGGAAUAUCCCCCAACUAUACAGACUAGGUAUAUCAUGGAGAGCCUGUGAACUUACACAGAGGUAUGCAAAGAUUUGAUGAAGGAACUAGCAUUAGUAACCCCUUUUGAAAUGUUGGAUAUGAUUCAUGAUUUACAAACUCCAAACGAAUGCGAAGAAGAGACGGAGGAAGAUUUGGAGAAUGAAAUGUCGUGUAACAGUGGGGUAGAUAUAGAAGAAGAGACAACAAACGUCGUAUUUCAUGAGUUAUUAAACCAAGCAAGUUGUGAACUAUACCUCGACUGUUCAGAAUUUUCGUCCUUGAACUUUUUUGUUAUGGUAAUGCAUUUAAAGGUUCUUAAUAGUUGGAGCAACAAGUCGUUCGAUAUGAUGUUAGAGAUAAUAAAAUGUGUGUUUCCAAUGUGUGGCACCAAUAUCUCUAGUUCAUUUUACGAAGCCAAACGAAAAUUGCGUGAGUUGGACUUGGGAUACGAGAAUAUUCAUGAUUGCAAGUACGACUGUGUAUUGCUCUAGAAGUGUUUGGGGAUUUGCAACAGUGUCCAACUUGUGGUGAGUUUCGAUACAUGGUUAGUUCUAAUAGAUCAAGAAAAAAUUCUGCAUAAAGUAAUCCUACUACUUUCUGUUGGUGCCGAGAUUUCAACGCUUGUUUGUAUUGCAAGAAAGCUCGACAGACAUGAGAUGACAUAAGGAUAAAUGAGUGAGAACAAAGGAUUUGUUGAGACGUCCAACUGAUGUAGAGGGAUGGAAGCACUUUAACUCUGAAUUUCCUGAUUUUGCUCUAGAUUUACAGAACGUCUGUUUGGAAUUAGAUGCAAAUGGGUUUAAUCCAUUCGGUUAUAUGAGUGUCUCGUACAAUAUGUGGCAUGUGGUGUUAAUUCCUUACAAUUUGCCACCAUAGAAAUGCAUAAAAGAGUCAAACUUUUUCAUGCCAUUGUUCAUUUUUUGUCCAAGAUCUCCUGGUAGGGAAACGGAUGUGUACCAACAAACCAUUGAUUGAGAAACAGAAAGAGUUGUGGACUUUUGAUGUGCGUACGUAUGACUGUAUUACAUAUCAAUUUUUUCAAUUGCACGCAACCUUGUUGUGGACAAUUCAUGACUUCUCGACAUAUGGUGACCUAUCUAGGUGGAGUAUGAAGGGGUAUCAGACAUGUCUCAUUUCAUGGAAAAUAAAUCGUCGUUGGAUAAGAGAAAAAUAGCUUUCAUGUGGGACAUCGACGCUAUCUUUCAGAUAACUACAUGUUUGCCGUCGAAGUAGGCUACAUGAUGGAAAAGUCUAGCGUAAGCUAAGACUCCUCCAAUAGUAAUAAAUGAGCAUGAAAUCUUCAAACAACUAGAUUCGUUAGAAUUUCCACUUAUGACUAAGUAUCAUUCGUUAAAAGAUAAGAAAAGAAAUAAAGCUUUUGAUUGGUACAAGAAAAGUAUUUUCUUUGAUUUUCUUUACUGGUCGAGACUACUAAUUCGUCAUAAACCUGAACAACUUAAUUAUAUUUUUUUUGUUAAUUAUAUCGAUUUCAUAUUUUGUUUUAUAAUUUGUAAUUUUUUUAAUUUUAAUAAUAUGUUACAAAUUUUGUUUCUUUCAAUUUGAAGCGGAACUGAAAAUAAUAUACCUUACAAUAAAAAAUAAAAUAAAGAAAACAAUAAAAUGAUAAAAUAAUAAAAUAAUAAAAAAGAAAUUUAUCCCAACCUAGAAAACAGGUCGGGAUCCUGUGUUCACCCUGACUUACCCAUACGACAUCGGGGAAACUUUUCUCGAUGCAUGUCGAGAGUACCCUUUUCUUGACGCACAUAGACAACAUCAAGCGUAUUCCACUACCGACGUCUUGCCUGUGUCGGCAUGGACAGUGUUGGGAAUAACCCUAUGUUGACGUCUUCACUUUGAUGCGUCGUAGAAAGCUGCCCCGGCGUUGAAAUCCUGACGUUCUAGUUGACGGAGAAUUAUGCGUCGAUAAUACUUUGACUGACACCUUUACUAUUUUUGCCGACGAUUUGUGGUGUUAGAAGUCCUCCGCUUUCUUGUAGUAGGAGUUGCUCACAAGUCCUGACGUGUUAUGAAGUGCGAUGAGAGAGACUGCACCAAACGCGUAUAUGAAUCGACAUUAGGAGCUUGUCCUUACUUUCGACGUCAAAAUGAAGCGCGUUGGGAAAAGGAAACUCCUGACACCGAUUCAUAUACGUGCUAGGAAAUCGUCUCCCAAUGCAUUAUUUCUUUCAACUCGUCUCCUGACGGUCCUGUAUGCGUCGGGAUCCUUUCUAGACGCAUUUGGAUAUAUAUGUCAAUGCUUUUAUGUGUCGAAAGAGCCACUAUUUCUUGUAAUGAUAUUUGAUUCUUUGGUUCUUUCUCUUGAAAAAAUAAAUUUAACUAUUAAAUUUUCUGAUAUUCUUGGAUAAUCAAAUUUAGGCUUGAUGAACUUCUUCAAUGAUUGACCUUUAUUGGGUUUGUUGAUCUUUUAGAGAAUCGACCUUCGAACUUAUUGGUCUUUUCUUAAAUGAUCGGUAUUUAGGUUAGAUGAUUAAUUUGGAUUGAUCAUUGGUUUGGUGAUAUGCUUAGAUUUGCCUUACAAUUUUAAGAGAGUUAUAUUUUUUUGAUCUUAAGAGUUUUGAUCAUAUAAAUUUUAGAUUUUAAGAUCUUUAAAGCCUCCAUCUCCAAAAUUUGAGAACUUCAAAGUUUCAAUUUUUAGAGAAAUCUGUGUGCUUUAAUUUAGUCUUUUAGAAUAAUUUAAGAACGUCGAAAUCUUCCCAGCUUUCAAUUUUUCAGAAGGUGAUUAGUCUCAAGAUUGAUAAGAACUUUAAUGUCUUGAGAGCUUCAAAUCUUCAGAGCUUCGACUUUUCAUCGUCAAUUCUAUGGCCCAAAUUUUCAUGGGGCUUGAAUUCGGUCAGGUUCAAGAUACUUUAAUUAGAGAUAACUGUGAAACUCGCAAAAUAUUAAAUAACAAACUGAAGAAUAGCAAAUCCCCAAAAUAUUAAGAUUUAUAGCAAAAUUGUCGAUUGCAUAAUUUUUUUGACUUUUUUUGACUUUUUGCAUAGAAUAACAUUUUGAGAAUAUGAUAUAGUAAUUAUAGCACGUUGUUUUAGAAUUUUGCAAAUAUGACAAAAACUCUCCAUCUUAAAUUUGUUAUUAUUCUUAAACUGUCAUUCAAUAACUUAUUUCUCUUUCUUUUUUUAAUGCCUUACUCAUUAUUUAUUUAUUCUCUCACUUUUUCAAGUCCUAAUUAUUUGUUUAUUCUUAUACUAUAAAAAUUAUUUAUUAUUUAUGUCUUAAUCUUAAUUUUAAAAUUAUAGUACAAUAAUUGCAAUAUGAAAGAUAAUAUAAUGAUUGUUGAUCGAAGUAAUUUAACUUCAUUUGUGGUUCUUUUUUUUUUUUUUACUUUCUUCGAUGUGUAUUUUAAGUUGAAUAUGAUUCCAAAUGAUUUUAUUUUAUUUUUUUACAUCAAUUUUUUUAUUUUUCUUUGUCUCAGUUUUGUAUAUCAAUAUUGUGAUAUACUUGUAUUAUAUGUAGUAGUCAGUUAAUAUACUUAUUACGUGAUUUUCGAUUUUUUAAAUUUUAUGCAGUUUAUUAGAGUAUUAUUAAGUAUAUGAAUGAUGUAACUCGGUGUAUCAUUAUCAAGAAUAUCAAUAAUAUAUUGUUAAAGCAUAUCAGUAAAGUGAAUCAUUAUCGAGUAUAUUAAUCAAGUUUACAAGUGUAUAUCAAAUCUAUAAGUAGGACUUCAAGAAUAUCAAGUGCAUUUAAUCAAUCAAUUGUAUAAGUGAAGAAUACUAAAUGUAUCUGCAGUGUAACAAGUGUAUCAAACAUAUAUUAGUAAUGUUUUAGGUGUGUAUCAAAAGAUAUCGAGUGUAUCAAAGUGAGUAUCAGGUAGAUCAAGUGUAUCAAUCAAAUGUAUCGAGUGUAUCAAGAAGUAUCAAGUGUAUUAAGGGGUGUAUUAGGUGUAUCAAACGUAUAAUAGUAACGAGGGUAUUUAUGACAUUUUACCUCUUGAUAUGUGGGUCGGGCUUCAAUUUUGCCAUUUUCGCAAAUAAUAAAUUGUGUGUCCUAUAGACUUAAUUAUUAUAAUUUAUUUUGUCAUUUUUUUCAAGUACCCCUUAUAUAAAACAAUUCAUUUCUUACACAUACAGUGAAUGAGGCAGAAUAUCACAAGUUCAUGAAUAUAGUGUAUUUGCAAACAACAUUAAAUUUUGGAAAAUCUUAACUAAAUAUGAUAUUUUCGAGUUUGAUAAGAUUACACCAACAUCCCUAAAUAUAUGACGGUAAUUUAUAUCAUAUUUUUGGAUUCUUAAAAUUUAAAUCAAUUAAUUAACAAUUUAUUGAUAUAAUUCAUAAUAGAUAUGUUUAACAAUAAUGUGAAUUCAAAUUUUAGAUAAUGUCACUAAAAUAAUAGCAAAGAUCAAUUCAAUAGUUUUUGAUUCUUUAUAUUUCAUACUAUUUAUCAAAUCUUUAUUAAAUAAUACAUAAUACAUAUUUUUAAGGUGAUUUUUAAAAAUAAAAUAAUGGACAAACUAUUUCAUGCCCAUAGCAAAAUUUUAAUCCAAGACCAAAAUGGAUAACUAAAAUUUUAACCGAAGCCAAAGUAUUAAUGUUUUUUUUUGCUAUAGGAUGUAAAUACUUUCCAUUUUCUUCUAUUUAUGUAAAUUUAUUACAUGAACACAUCUUCAUUUUUGUCGACGAAAAUAUAUAUGUGGCCAAAAAAGUUGUGUAUUGCGUGGGCACAUCAUCGUCUUUGCCAACAAAAAUAUACAAAAAUAUAUAAGUGGACAAAAAUGUGUGUGGUGAAAAGGAAAAUUUUUAAGUUGGCUUUCUGCCGACAUUUACUUUUGUUUAUCACCACGUAUCGUGUGUUGGUAGAUAUUUUAAAUAUGUGCCCUCAUAAUUUAUGUGGCGAAAAAUCCUACAUUUUUAUACAUAUUUAUGGCGACGCUAGACCUAUACAUACGACGACGCAAGACUUAUAACGUAGGCAUAAGUGUUUUUUUUUAAAAAAAAAAAACCUAAUUUUUCCAAAUAUUUUCCUCCUUUUCUUUUCUCUCACGCAGUUCCUCCUUUACGUGAAUGGCUUGCUGCACCCCAAACACCAAGAUUUUCUUUGCUCACGUUGAUUGCCCAUCUUCGAUUUCACUCCUUGUCGUCACUGCUCUUCGCUCAACGGCUCGCUGCACCCCUUGCUUAUCGAUUUGUAUUAACUCAAAUAAGGUCUGAAUUGUAUUAUUGCAUUAAAAUUUCAGUACCUCAUCUGAUACACAAAAGCAAUAAUUCUCCACUGAAUUCUUAUGAAUUCUUAGUAAUUCUUUGGAUGUAUCUUCUUUUUCAUUUUCCUUACUGUAUUCUCUAAAUAAGAAAUUUUAACAUCCUCCCGAAGUUGAUCAAGGCUAAAAGGCUAGAUGCACAAUUGAGGUAUGUGAGGUGCUUAAAGUACUUGAACUAAUCUCGAGGUUUAGAAAAAACUUUUGCAUUAAACUGUAUGUUAGGAUGAUCGUAGCUUACUGUUCAUCAUUCUUUUACUUUAAGACUCUAGGAUGUGCAAAUAAGUGGCUCAAUCUUUGCAACCAUCCACCAAAUUUAGUUGAAUGUUCCAAGGCAUGGUGGUUAUUGUGUCAACCUUCUCCAAAUCAUAGCAAACUCAACUACCUAUCAAUGGAACAAAAAACAUCUAUAAGAAACAAAUAAAUUGUAAAACUUUUAUUUUGAAUGAGAAAAAAAAUAUCUAUUGAAUAUGACAUUUUUAAAUAUAUUAGUAAUUUAGAAACGUCACGUUGAUAACUCUAUUGAACAAAACAUUAAUUAAAUAGUGACUUUUUAACUAGAAUAAGAAACUUUUUUGAUAGACAUUAAUAUUACGCAUGAAUAUCCUUCAACUAUGAUAGCAAAUCAUGCAUAUAUUUCAUAUUUAUUGUAUGCUUGAAUUAUAAUAUGUUGUGGCUAUCAUAUCGCUACAGUAGCCAAUCAUGUAUAUAUUUUACACUUAAUAUAUGUUUGAGUUAAACUGCUACUUUGGACACGUUUUUCGAUAUUUUGUGUUUGAUUAUGAGUUUAGAAGGCACAUUUGAGCAUUUUGAAAGGAUUUUUUUGGACUUAAAAGGUGAUUUUUAGUUUGAUAUUUAAGACAGUUAGUAGGUGAGUUUUUGUUGGAUUUUAAUUUGAAAGUUACAAUUGGGUUUUUGGUUGUUUUGACAUAUAAAAGGCUACACAAACCCAUUUUUGAGUUAAAGUACCACUUAAACAUUUUGGAGGUGUUUUGGGGGUAGGGAAAGGAAAUGAUUAGUCAUUUCUAUGUAUGGGGGGCAAGAAUUAAGGUGGGAAAGGAAUAAAUUAAUUUCCCACUUAAUCCUUCUCUUUCUUCCAUAAAUACAAUCACAUCAAACUUUUCUCUUUUUUCAAAAUAUAGAUAUGUUUUUCUUAAUAAUUAUAUUUUAACAACUAUAAGUAUCUUUUCACUUUUCCAUAACAAUUUUAUAUAUAUAUCCACAAAUACACAUAAUUAUGAAAUUUCUAUUAAAUAAACACUCCAAGAUAUUUAAUUAAAUUUAAAUUCAACAAUACUAAAAAUCUAAAUCCAAUGGUUAAUUAAAUAUUCAACCCUCGAGUAUUUAAUUAUGUUCAUCCUCAUUUGUUUAAAUCGAAUAUUAAUGAUAUGCAAUAUCUUAACAUUGCACUUACAAUAUCAAAUUUAAAAAAUGGAUAUAAUUUAUUUCGCACGUAACGCAUCAAUUAAUUUAUUGGCAGGAAAACUUUCGUAUAAAACGUACACAAUUGACAUUGUAUUUACGAAAACUAAUAGAGAGCAUGUUUUCCAAUAAAAAAUCGAUAAAUUAAAAUUAUGAAUAUUUGUGUAUUGGAUUUACUAUACCAUUUUUUUUUAAAAAAAAUACAAGAGUAUGAAUUAAAAAAAUAAAUAAAUAAUAAUAAUAAUAAACUUUUUUUUUGUCAUAAUCCUUCCUCUAUAAUCCUUCUCACUUAUUUCUUCCCCGUAUCUUUGAAAAUGCAACAAAAAAAGAAAAAAAAAAGAGGAGCAUAAUUUUUAAUGUAUUGGAUUUAUAUAUCAAAUUGAAUAACACGUUAAAGACAAAUGAAAAAAAAAAUACAAUUUAUUUGUGAACUAAAUUUACAAUACAAAUUUCAAAAACAUAUUUCACACAAAGAAAUAAUAAUAAUACAAUUUGUUUUGUGUAUUGGAUUUAAUUUUUAAAAAAAUAAGAAAAAAAACUACUGUACAAAUGAAAAAAAAGAAAAAAAAAAACUUCACUUUUGAAAUUGUAAUGAGUGUACGUUAAAGUAAUAAAAUAUUUAUACAAAAUCACCAAAAAUAAAAAUAAUACAAAUUUUUGGUGUAAUUGGAUUAGGGUACAACUUAACUGAAAUAAUGAAUUUAAAUACAAUUUUUUGUUGUAAAUGUUUUAUGAUACAAACAGACAAAAGGUUAUACAAAUGCAAAAAAUAUUAGCACAUUUUCAUUUUGUAUUGGGUUCACGAAAAAAAAAACAAGAAUUUCAUACCCAUGAAAAAAAUUAGUUUUUUUCGUACAAUUUUUUUUACACAAAUGAAAAAAAAUACAAAUUUUUUUAACAUAAUCUUUAUCCAGAGAAAUAUUAUAAAUAAUCUCUCAUAAUCCUUCCAGUUAUUCCUUCUCCCCAAACAACGAUUAGAAAUAAUCAUUUUCUUUUCAUAAUUCCCCUUUCCUUAUUCAUUUCCCCUCAUUUUCCUUUCCUUCCCCCAAACACACCCAAAAAGCUAAUAUGUUAUGGUAAUUAUUGCUAUAGGGUCAACUUUUUGUUCAUACUAUUUGAAGAUGAAUAAGGAUUGGAUUAAACUAAAAAAUAGAUUUUCAAGUGAUUAUGUUGAUGGAGUUUCUUAAUUUAUGGAAGUGGCUAAGUGUCAUGUAAAUGAUGUAGGAAAAACUAGGUGCACAUGUAAGUAUUGUCAAAAUUCAAUGACACAAACAUUGGAUGGAGUAGAGCAUCAUUUAUUUGCGAAUGGAAUAUCUUCUUUAUAUGAUAAAUGUAUUUAUCAUGGAGAAGCAAUGAACUUUGCUAGAUUUGAACAGAGUACUACUUCGUUAGAAAGUGAUAGAUUAAGUAGAGAGUCUGAUGUUGGCAACAAGGACGAUGAUAUUUUAGAUCUUUUAACUGACUUGCAAGGUUCAAUGAUAGCAAGGGAAGAAAAUUUUGAUGACGGAGAUGUAAGUUUUGAUGAUGAAUUUUCAGAAGAUGUUGAUGACAUGGACACUAGUAACAUUUUUAGGAGUUGAUGAAUGAAACACGUAAACCGUUGUAUCCUGGAUGUACCAACUUUUUCUCAUUAAAUUUUUUGGUGAAGUUAAUGCAAAUCAAGAUUCUGAAUAAUUGGAGCAACAAAUCGUUUGAUAUGCUAUUAGAAUUGUUGAAAGAUGCAUUUUCAAUCGGUACAUUUAUAACUAAAUCAUUUUACGAAGCUAAGAGAAAAUUAUGUGACUUAGGGUUAGGAUAUGAUUUCAUCCAUGCUUGCAAAAUAUGACGGUAUAUUAUUUCGAAAAGAAUUUGCUAAUUGUCAAAGUUGUCCACUAUGCAGUAAAUCUCGAUAUAAACAGAGAGUGAAAAAGGAAAGAAGAUUCCAAAUAAGGUUUUGCGUCACUUUCCACUAAUUCCAAGGAUGAAACUAUUGUUUUUUAAUCAAAAUAUAUCGCUUCUAAGAUGAGAUGGCAUAACGAUAAACAGAGGAUGUUUUACGACGAUAUCUAGCUGAUGAUGUAGAAUGGAAGCACUUCGAUAGAGAAUUUUCUCAAUUUUCCUCAAAGCCAAGAAAUGUUCGUUUAGGCUUAGCUUCACACGAUUUUAAUCCAUUUGGGAAUAUAAGUACUGCAUAUAGUAUGUGGCUAGUGGUGCUUAUACCAUACAAUUGUGGCUAGUGGUGCUUAUACCAUACAAUUUGUCCCUUGGAAGUACAUGAAGGAGUCCAAUUUUUUCAUGUCUUUGUUUGUACCUGGACCCAAAUCUCAUGGGAAAGAGAUUGAUGUAUAUUUGCAGCCCAUAAUUGAUGAGUUGAAAGAGUGGUGGAAUAAUGGUGUGCGAGCGUUUGACUGUACAUAUGAAGAGUAUUUUCCAUUAUAUGCAUGUUUGUUGUAGACCAUCAAUGAUUUUCCUGUAUAUGGUGACUUGUCGGGAUGGAGUACGAAAGAAUAUCAAGCAUUUCCUACUUGUAAAUAAGAUACGUCAUCGUUUGGGAUAAAAGGAAAAAUAUCUUUUAUGGGACACCAACGUUAUCUUUCUUCUAAUAAUAGUUGACGUCGAAGUCGACAAUAUGACAAAAAAACCCGAACGCAGGCCUCCACCAAUUGUAAUGAGGGGAGAUGAGACCUUACAACAAAUAAACUCCAUGAAUUUUCCAGUGCUAAGUAAGCAUUCAUCCAAGAUGAAUAAGAAAUGAAAACAUACUAUUAAUUGGAAUAAGAGAAGUAUAUUCUCUACACUUCCGUAUUAGUCUAAACUUCUUUUGAGACAUAAGUUGGAUGUCAUGUAUAUUGAAAGAAAUGUUUGUGACAACUUGCUUGACACUUUAUUAAAUAUUGAUGGUAAAACAAAGGACACAAUCAAUGCUCGUUUAGAUUUAGGAGACUUGAAUAUAUAAAAAGGAAUUACAUUUGCAAAGGCAAGGAACUAAGCUGAUAAAACCACAUGCUACGUCUACAUUAACCGGCACCGAAAGAAUAGACUUUAUAAGUUCUUAAAAUCAAUUAAAUUUCCUAAUGGAUUUGUCUCAAAUAUAUCACGAUGUGUGAGUGUCAAUGAUGGAAAAUUAUAGGGACUAAAGACUCAUGACUCUCACAUUUUACUCUAAUGACUUAUUCUCAUUGUUGCACGAGCAUACUUACAUAAGGGUGUGUGUACAACUAUCGUUGAGUUAUGUAAUUUUUUUCAUGAUUUGUGUGCGAAGACAAUACAUAUCAGUGACCUGAAUCGUCUGAAAGCCAAUAUUGUGAUCAUACUCUACAAAUUUGAAAGAAUUUUUUCACCUGCGUUUUUUGACGUAAUGAUACAUCUUGCAAUUCAUUUACCGGCUAAGACAAAGAUUGUUGGUCCAAUAAUCUAUAGUUAAAUGUAUCCCAUAGAAAGAAGCUUACGAACAUUAAAACAAUAUGUACGAAACAAAGCUUGUCAUGAAGGUUCCAUAGCAGAAGCAUUUCUUAUGAAUGAAUGUUUGACCUUCUACUCGAUGUAUCUAACAGGAAUAGAGACAAGAUUCAGUAGGAAUUCACGAAAUGAUGACUCAAUGAGCAGAAAACUUGGUUGUGGGGACUUUGAUGUAUUUAAAUAAAAUAUGUGACUAAUGGAGGGGUCAAUUGUGAGGACGCUAUCUGAAGAAGAGAGACGAAUGUGUCAUUGGUAUGUUCUGAACAACUGUUCUCAAAUAGAAUCGUAUCUCAGGUACAUUUUAUACAUUCAUUUACUUGUCAGUUCAUAGUGUAUAUAAGUAAGUCGAAAUUCUUUUUAAUAUUUAAUAUGAUUGAUAAGCAGAGAAAAUUUGAGUUUGAUAAAUACCAAAUGAGAGGAUGGACUAGAUUUAUUUAGAAGGCACCAAUUAAAAUUUCCUAAUUGGUUUAAUGUACAUGUAAGUGUUGUUUUUAGCUUCAAAGUAUGAUGUUUUACUAUUGAGGUAUUAGUAGUUAUUCUAACCCACAUAAUAUUAUGUAGAUGUAUUCAUUACGUGAAAAAGGUGAAGCAUCUGAUGAUCUUUACUCCAUAGUGUUGGGCCUAUUAAUCAAGUUCGCACUUACAGUGGUUGCUUUGUAAAUGGAUUACAUUUUGAUUCAAUAAAGCGUGACAAUCGCCAGACUACUCAGAAUAGUGGAAUCAUGGCAUAUGGAGAAACCAAAGCCGACAAAACGGAUUACUAUGGUCUAUUGCAAGAGGUCUUGGACUUAGAAUACCCUAAGUGUAGACGUGUAUGUCUUUUCAAAUGUAAUUGGUUUGGAACCGAUGUUAAGAAGAACAAAUUUUGUUCUAAUUUAGGCUUUAAAAUAAUUAAUACUUCUCGUUUGGGUACACUGAUGACCCAGACAUAUUAGUUACACAAGUCGUGUAGGUUUUCUACACUGACGACCCAAAACUCCGCAAUAAUUGAAAAUUUGUGCAAAAUGUCCAAAAUAAACAAGUAUGGGAUGUCCCAUAAGUUGAAAAAUUAGAAAAAGAGUUGUUAGAAGCAUCUAGUUCAAUUGGGUUUGAUAAAUCCAUACAUGAUAUCCCAUUUUGUAGAGGCGAUGUUAAACCUACUGUUUUUUAUAAUCAAGAGAUAGAUAAUCAAGAUCAAUCCCCAAUCGAUGACGACUUUAUAAAUGACGAACCUGAACAACUAGAAUCUUUGGAUUCAUAUGGUAAUGAAUAAAGGGUAUAUAUUAUAUGUUUAUCAAAUUUAUUUACGACAUGUUAUUUUAAAGUCUAACCACUAAUAAUUAUUUUUGCAGCAUAAUGGUACAUACAGAUCAAGCACAAUUGGCAUUGACUGAAGUUGAACAAACAAACACUACACCAGUUGAUCCUUCCACUCAUCAAGACGGUAUUAAUAUGAUAUGUAAGUUUAUUUCUUAUACAUUACUGAAAUGAUCUAAAAAUAGUUUUACUUUUAGGAUAUCAAUCACAAACUAAAAAGUGAGGAAAUGAUGUGAGAGGAUACGGUCCAAACAUAGAAUUGGACAAAUUUGUAGAAAAACGUGGAAAGAUCAAGAUAGAGAUUAACAAAGAGGAAGAAAAACCAAUGACGGCAUUUGCCCCUAAAAUUGGGUUAGGCAUUGGUACUGUCGUUCGAAACACUAUUCCAUUGAGUUGAGGGAAUUGGGAGGCGGUACCUAUAGGCGUAAGGAAGCUCGUGAUUGAUCGGUUGGAGGUAUGUUUAUGUUUAAUUUAUGCCUUCUUAUAUUGUUUAAAUGUAAAAGUUGUCCAUUUAUACAUAUAUUAUUAAAUAUGUAGACAAAUUUUGAAUUUGACCCAACUGACAUAAUUGUGAGAAAAUACUUAGAAAAAAAGAUGCAUAAUACUUUUAGAGAUCAAUUUAGAGCAGGUUUGAAUUGUAUGUACUUGAGUUGAAAUAUUUUGUGGCUAUCCUGCGGUGGCAACCAAUCAUACAUACAUGACAUUUUCAUAAGAACUGUCCACGUUUCUCUGUAUCGGUAAAGACGAAUAUUCUUGUAGUGUUUGUUGUUGGACAAGAUUGCAACAACCUCCUAUAUGAUAAUGGUAAAUAUAUAUACAAGAUUUUCAGGUUUGUUAUAUUUUAAAAAAUUUAUUAAAUACUACAUAAUAUAUAUUUGAAUAACAAUUUGAAAUUAAAUUUUAGAUACUCCUCAUAGAAUAAUGCCAAAUAAAAAUACAAGAUUUUCAGCUAUUUUAUAUUUUUAAACAAUUUACUAAAUAAUAUAUAAUAUAUUUUUAAUAACAAUUUGAAUUUGAAUUUUAGAAUUGUAAUUAUGUCUCAAUGGGACUUUUGCAAUUAUUUGAAUCUUCUUCUUUUAUGUUUUAUUUGAGAAAAAAAAAAAAAAAAAAAGAAGAUUGAGAGGGGGGCAACCGAUGCAAGAGACAAACACUGUGUGAGAGAGAAAUUUUUUCUUUUAAACAAGAGAGAAGAAAAGUGCGAUCGACAGAGAGAAAGACGUCGGAGUUUCGACGUUAGUGGCUAUGGGCAUCUGACGGCAUCUGACGUUGGUCAUGAGUUUGCGGCAAGUUCUGACGUUCUGGCGUUUGUUGGAGUCAGAUUUAGCCAACUUUCAUGGAUUUAGCUGCAAGCAGGAUGAUAGAAGGCUCGAGCAGUGUUUAUGGUGAGUUUCAUCGUUCAUGUUUUGUUUUUCAGCCUUGGUUCUUCUUAGGGUUUUCAGUAGGUUAUUCGACAUGUGAGUCUCCGGUCGGAGGAGCCGGCAAGAUGAAAAUUUCACAAUCUUACGUCAGAGGAGCCAACAAGAAGAAAAUCCAAGUAUGAAGAGUUUGAAGAGUUUGAAGGGGACGAGCUGGAAACUCCAAUAGUUUCUGCAACUAUGGAAGUUUGAUGUUGAUAUGUGUUAAUUGUGUGUUGGGAGUAAGAUUUUAAUUAUAGGGUAUUUGUGGUUUGUUUAAUAAUUAUAUUUAGGAUUCAAUUUUUUUUAUUUAGGUAUGGGCAUUUAAGACAUUUGUUCGUGCAAUUAUUUUCUUAUACUUUUUUAUUUUUCUAUUUUAUCAAUUUAAAUAAAGAUUUGUUGUUAGAGAAAUGUGUGAGAAUGGCAAAAUAACAUUGUGGUGUUUGGAAAAUAGCAAACAUAAAAAGUAAUUUGAUUUUUAGCAAAAUUGCAAAAGAUAUAAUUUUUUUUUGAGAAUUUUUCAACCGAUUUUAUCUCUUGAUAGGAUGACUAUCAUUUUGUUAAUUACAAUGUAUUUGUGAACCGUAAAAUAAUAAAACAUAACACAUAAUUACGAUUACGAUGCAUUUGGAUAUCAUUCAAUUUUGUAAUAAUAUUAAAUAAAUAUUUAUUUUAUCUAUUAAUCUCAUUUAACUAAAUUAUAGAUUCAUGUCUUAAAUUUAUAACAGAUUAUCCUAUUACUUAAUUGUAGGUUUUGUUGGAAGAUUAAAAUUUUAAAAUUUAAAAUAAUAUCUUUGGUUUAAAAUUAUGCAUUUUAUAUAAUAACAACUUCAUAUAAAUGGUGUAUUUUUCCUAUAAUUAUGCAUAUAGCAAUUAUACCAUAUUCGACCAUAUUAAUAAUAAUAAAUUGUUAAGCAUUAUUUUAGAGAAUAAAUGGUAACAUAACGAUAAUGCAAUCUUAUUAUAUAAUUAUCAUUAAAUUAGGAACAUUUUCUAUAGAUAUUAUUUACUACCAUUUAAAAAUUGAGUUUAAAUUCUUGCAAAUUCUCCUAAAAUCGUAUUAUUACAUUGAUCUCCCUAAAAUAAUGACAAACAUAGAUUUAACAUUUUUGGAUUAUUUAUAUUCCAAAAUAUUUAUAAAAUUACCCUAUUUAAAUUUUGUAUUUAAAUACCUCCAAAAUACAUAUUGCUCGUAACAAAUUGAAUUUAAAAUUUUAUCUUCCUCAAAAAUUGUGCUAAUUGGUUGAUUUUUAUUUUUAAAAAAUUGUUUUAUUGUGCCAAUGGUAGAAAUAAUUAUUUUCAGACGUGUUUUUAAAUUACGUUAAUAUCUAUGUUUAUUUUCAUCUAGUAAGAGUCUCAAACACACCAUAAUUGUGAUUCACAAUCUUAUAAUUUUAUAGUCAUCUAUUAUACAAACAUAUUUCAAUCAGCAGAUUUGGAAUACACAAAAAAAGAUAAAAAAAUUUGGUCAUCAAGAUGUAGUAUCAUUACCUAUACAAUUUAUUUCAAUAGGUCAAAAAAACGAGAUAUGAUAUUGAAAAUAACAUAAAUUUACUUUAUUUUGUAAAUAACAUUCAAAUUUGAUAAAUCUUAAUUAAACAUGUUAUUUUGUACAAUUUAUUAAAUAAUACAUGAUAUAGUUUUAAUAACAAUUUGAAUUUAAAUUUUAGAUCAUUCCCUAAAAUUAUAUAUAAAUCCAAUAAUUUCACUUUUUUAUAUUUUUAGCCAAUUUUACUUGUAUAGAGGAAAAUUCUUAUCUUAUUGGUAUAGUGUACUUGUGUAGGUUAAAAUGAUGAAAUAUAACUCAGAAUCACGAAUAUAUUGUAUUUGCAAAUCAUUAAGUUGUGUAAAAAUAUUAAAUAAAUAUUUAUUUUCGAAAUGAAUUUGAUUGAAUCAACAUCCCCUAGAUUUAAAGGCUGCAAUUUAUUCUAGAUUUUCUUGUUUGUUGGUUUCAAAUCAAGUAAUUAACAAUUUAUUUAGUUGUGGUUGUUCAAAUUAAAAUUGUAUCUUACCCCUAUAAUUAUGAUGCAUUUAAUGUAUAUAUGAUUAUUCUAAUAAAGUUUUGAUAUUCCUCUAUAAUCAUGAUACUUGAUUGAUUUCCUAAAAUGAUGUCAAACAUAAUUUCAAAAUUUUGGGAUUAUCUUGUUAAUAUUCUUUAUCUAUUCUCCAUAAUUGUUAUUUAAAAAUAGAUUUUAAAUUUUGAUUUGAAACCGUCAAAAUAUUAAAAUUGAUUUAAAAAUUUAUAAAAAUAGUUAUUGUUAACAAUAAUUUGAAUUUAAAAUUUUGUCAUCCCUAAAAUCAUGCUAAGAUAUCUUUAUAUCUCCAAAAUAAUAGCCAACAUAAAUUUAACAGUUAUUUAUAUUCUAUUAUAAAAAAUAAAUAUUUUAAUUUUGGAAGGAAUUAAUUGAGAAGAAAAGAUUUGUUUUAUUUAAAUUGUAAAAGAAAAAAAAAAGAAAGUGAAGAUAUUUAAGGGAAAAUAAUAAUAUAAUAAUAUUACUAUUACUAUUCAUCAUCUUCGUCACUCUCACCAAACCCUGACUGCCGCUGACACCUCCAUCUUCGUUCGCCAUCCCAUCCAUUCUGUUGAUCGAGAACUAAACCGCAAGGAAACAUCUCCUCUGUUGCACGCCACUAGUCGCAUGUUUACUUCAUCCGAAGUCAAGCGUCUUUGUGCCGCUUGUUCAUUCGCAUCGCGCGUCGCACGCUCAGCCGCGUCGAUCUCCUUUGUCUGCAUUCGUUCACUGGUUAUACCAAAACUUCCAGCCACAAAACUUCCAGUCACCGUCAAUCCCCGAAUUUUAGUGACUCUGUUGUUGUGGGGGUUUUGUGACAUACAAUGUAUCUUUUCUAAAAUUCAAGUUGAUAUAUUGUUGCUAUAAUUUAACAAACGAAGAAGAAAAUCCAUUGAAGAAGCUCACUUUUGCGCGAAACGAAAAAGAAUCUAUAAUCGGUUUGAUGAAGAAGAUGGUUGGCAAGAAGAAAUUUUUUUAAUUUGCAGUAAAUGUAUAAAGACUUUGAAGGUUUUGAAGAGGACGAAGCUUAAAGCUCUAAUAUUUUCUGCAAAUGAUCAAAGACUUUGAAGAUUUGGUAGAAUCUACGAAAGUAGAAGGUAAUGAAGUUGGAUUCUUUUCGGCUUUGAAUACCUAAACAUACACAAUUUCAACAAGGAUGUGUUAUUUAAUUACAAGGUAUUUAGGUUUUAGGUAAACAAUUCCACAAUGGACUUAGCGUUUUUGUGAUGUCAGGACGAAUCUUAAAUUAAUGGCCAAAAGUUCUUAUUCAAUCCGAACUACAAGCGAGUAUUAAAGAAAAGAAAUGAAAGCAAGGGCGAGAGAAGAAACGGAGGUGAUGGAGCAUAAAUUAAAACGAUUUUGGUCCAUACACUAAUCACAAAUUACAUUUUAAAUAUUUUUUGUUUUCUUGUUAGGUUUAUCUCUUGCUUUUCUUUUUCUCUUUUCCUUCCUUCAAUUCAAAGGAUUUUUUUCAAAAUAUUUAUAAAUAUAAAAAAAUAGUACUUUUAAUUAGCCAUCGAUGGUGAUAGGCUUAUCUAUGUGACGAUGGACCUAGAUUGCAGUCUAUCUUGAUUUAUUAUUAAUAUAAUUGUGAUAUUUUGAUAUAUUUAGAAAUUUUUUCAUUUAAAAUAUUUUUCUUGUUAUAUUUUGAGUGUGUAUAAAUAGAUUAAAAUUAAAGGGUAAAAAAGGGACAAAAGGACAAAAAGAAGGGUAAAAAAUAAAAAGAAACGUUAGGAAAAAGGGGAAAAGAAAACAUGACUAAAUAAUAAUGAGAAAAAAGAAUGGAAAGAAAAUAAUGCAUUAAAUUAUAAAUUUGGUCGAUGAGCUUUAACAUCCGUGUUUAUCUUGUCCUUAAACUACCAAACUUACAAACUUUAGUUCUCGAUCUUUUAAGUUUUAUCAAAAUUUUCAUAAUCUAUUAAAUAAAAUAAAUUAAGAAUUAAAGUUGGGAUGAAACACAAAAUCAAAAUUCAAAGACCAAAAAUUAAACACAAACCAGCUACGAGUUUAACAACUAGAUUUAUAGGAGAACCAAAACACAUAAAUUAAAAAAUAUGAAUAAUAGAUUCAUAAACUUUCAUCAUAUCCAAAACCCUAAACCUAAAAUGAGGGAACACAAACUAGACAUGACCAAAACUAUUUUUUCAGAAGUACCAAUAAUAGAUUUGAUCACAUGACCAAACUUAGAGCACAUGUUCUUUCUAAAAUAUAUCCAAAGGGUAGCCCUACCUGCGUGAUUUGUUGAAGUAUACUCUCUUGGGGACCUCAAAUAAUUAAAUUACUUUUUCCAUUGUUUUAUCUUUUGUGUGGAUUUUUUUCUAAAAAAAUUUCACGUGAAGAAAGAAGGCCUUAGCUAAGCUCCAAUAAUUCAACUUGACAUUGUACCCUAUGUAGUAAUCCAAGAUUUCAAAUAAAAUGGCACGUGAAAAGUUAGUUUUUUUUUCUUUCCCAACUUGUGAUUAUAUCAUUUUGGAACCUAUCGUUCUUAGCAUUUAGUGCUAGAUGAAGACUCAUUUGCCGUAUAUUUGAAAGGAGAGGUACGUUGACGCUCCUUGUUUCUCUCAUGUUACAAUCCUCUUUUGUUUGAAACCUAUUUUAAUUCAAUCCACAAACACAAUAAUAGAGGAUUGAUAUCAACCUUUCAUUAUGGAAGAUAGAAAUUUUGAAAUGAAUCUAGCAAAAAAACAUAGAAGUCAAGCACGAUGUUGUGGUAGAUAAUGAUAAGCCAAUGAGAGCAUAGAUGGAAAUACACCUAGGAUGGUAACCCAAUUAGUGAGUGUAGUCACCUAUUUCGAAGAUUAGUGUAUUAGAUAAAGAGUCGAGAGAUUAUCAUUUCAAUGGUAAACUCUCUCUUUAAAAACUAUUGUCACACACAAUAUUUUUUUGGUAGCCUUAAAUGAAAUCUCAUCAAUACAUCAACUACUCAUCUUGAGUUUUCACUUUCACCUUUAACUAAUUCGACAGUACAUGAAGCCAAGUAAUAAUACUUGGUCAGAACAAAAACUCAUAAAUUAUAGACGAAAGCAGGCAGGGAAGCAAUUCAAACUUGACUUUAAAGCACAUGUAACCUGUUAUAUGUAAAGUAGUAAUAGCGGCAAAAUUUUAGGGUUUUAGUGUUUUACACAAUAUAGGUUACUCUAAUACCAUGUCAAACAAUGUAAAUUUUCUAUCUUAUUUCACUUAGAAAGAGGGGAUUUCUUAAAUAUGUUUGGAGAAUAUAAUAAAAUAAAUACAAAAAAAUAUUAAAGAAAAAGGAAACAAUCAAUUAAUUCAUGAUUCAUGGUUGUUUCAAGCAUUACACAAUAAACACUUCAAAACACUAAAAUUAUUAGUAAAUACAAAGAGGUUUAUUCGAAACACGUUAAUUAAUUAAUUAACUUGAGAUUAAAAACUAAAUAGUCGACCCACACCUUUCAUGCAAUUGACAAAAAAGAAUAUUCAUCUAAUUUUUUAGUGUCUGAAUUGAUAACUUUUCUUAAAUUGAAGUUUCAUUAACAGAGAGUUCAUUCUUUAUAUAUAAAAACAUACUUAAAAUUGGUUAUAUAAAAUUUUUAUUCAACAUAUAAUAUGUAAGUGAGGAGAUGGAUUGUUUGAAUUCUCUUAUCUAAUUUUAUACUAUUUACUAACAACUAUUAGAAAGUAAAGGAAAUUUAUUUUCAAACCCCACCAUUACCUUUUAUUACCUUAAGAAAGGACAUAAACAUAUAACCCUCAAAAUUAAACCUUUCACAAAUCUUUUCAUCCUGCACACUUCACCAUGGCAAAAAAAAAGAGAAAGAUAUAAGGAAAAACAUAACAAUGAUAAGUUCACACUAACAAAUUAACUCUAAACAACAUUAAUUUUACUUCCCUACACCCUCAACUCUAAACCCUCCAAAACUAUAAUAUUCCCCAAAACACAAUAUGAAUAUAUACCACUUGGCCCAAAACCACCUCCUAGGGUUUUUUAGUGGCUUCUCAUUCUAUGGUGUUUUAGGGGUUACGUACCUUACCUUCCUGAAAUAUUCACGAGGGUUUUUUUUAUUAGGGGUUUCUCUUUCUAGGGUUUUUAGGGUAAUCGGGGAUAGUUCUUAACCAGCGCGGUACUGCCACAAGCCAAAGCCUUCGGCGGAAUCAUUCCCACCAUAUGAACUCCUUCGGCAAACACAACUCCCAUUCCCAUAUGCAAAUGAGGUUCAAUAUGGCAAUGGAACGCCCAAACACCUGGGUUAUCCGCCACAAAUCGAAUCGCCGUCCACCCAUAUGGGAAAAUCACCACUGUGUUCCUCAACGGUGGAUUUUUCAAAUUCAGUUUCUUCUCAUCCUCGGGGGCGUAAAAUUUCCCCUCUCCAUACCCCAAAACCCAAAAAUCAUGGCCAUGCAAAUGCCAAGGGUGAAUCUCACUCAUAUUGGGGUUUAACAUAUUAGCGUUUUGUAGAAUCACAUCUACCGUUUCCCCCAUAUUGAACUUGUAAACGCCGUUGCCCGUUGUCGUUUCAGGGUUCGGCGGUGGGUUGUUGAUGUCGUAGUUCAAUGGGAAUGUUUCUGGUGGUGGAUUUUGGUUGAAGGCAGUGUUUAGCCUCAUUUUCAUGGCGGCGAGGUACGGCGUUGGAGGGAGAGCUAAAGAGACAUUGUUGAUGGCCCAUUUCAUGAACCCGUUUAUUCGAUUUUGGGUGUUGAGGAGGAAGAGUCGGCGGUUGUAUCUCACCGGUGGCUUUGGACUGCCCAUGGCAGCGAAGAUUCUGAAUGUGAAGUUUUUGCUCCGAUCAAAAUCCUCCCAGUGGGGGGUUUCCGGAGGUGGAGAAAUGGGUAAUUUGGAGGCGGAGUUGGGGAGGUAAUUGAGGAGGGUUAGUCCUGGAGGGGUUUUGGGUAGCCGUGCGCGGACGCCGAUGGAUACCCAGUAAUUUUCCAAUGGGUUUUGGUCGGUGGUAAUGAGGACGGAGUAUGACUCGCCGGAAUAAAUGUCGAUGUCGGAAGUGACAAAUGGUUGAACGUAGUUGCCGUCGGCUUCUACCACUAACAGUUCGUGAUUCUGCAGAAGAAGAGGAGAAAAUAAUUAUUAAAAUUAGUUUUAAAUUCAUGGAUAAACAUUAAUGUUGAAAGUUGAAGAUAUUAUUUAGUGAAAAAUUAAAGUUUAAAAAUCUAAAAUUAAAUGGAAAUGAACAAUUUGAAACUUAUAAACUAAAAAGGAGAUUAGAAUUUUUUGUUCAUAAUUAUUCAAGUUUACUUUUGAUUAUUUUUAUUUUGAUUUUCAAUUACUAGUUUGAAGCAUGAAUAUGAAUUAUUAACAUUCUAACAUGCAAUUAUUCUAAAAAGGACAAAACAAAAAUGAAAUUUUGAUCCAUUUCUUUCACCACUGAAAAAGGCUAAGAUUUUGUUUUGUGUAAUUAUUAUGUGCAUAAUUAGAGAGAGAUGGACCUCAUUUUGUUAUACCUUUGACAAGGAAUUAAAUAAAUCUUCAUACUUAACAUACUAUAGAUUUCAUUUAAGUGUAGAAAGAUUUGUAUUUAGUACUCUACUUUUUUAUUAUUUUUCUCCCUUUCCUUUUUUGUUUAUUAUUAUUAUUAUUAUUACUUUCUUUAUAAUUUUCUUUUAAAAAACUAUUCUAUAUCACCCAACUUUUAUAAAUAUUUACUAAUAUAACAAAUUGAUAUCGAUCUAUCAUCUAACUUAGUCUAUCAUAGUCCAUUUUCCAUAAUAGAUAAAAUAUGAAUUUUGCUAUAUUUUGUAAAUAUUUUGAUUUAUUUUAUUAUCAUCUAAAUUGAAUUUUAAAAUAAUAUUUUAUUAUUUUUUUAAUAGUUUUUGUACCCUAAAUUUAAUAAUAUAUUAUAAAAUCUUGUUUAGAAUUUUGUUUCCUAAAGUAUAAAUGUAGAUCCCCACCACAGUACAUCUAGAUCUCAAACAUUUAUGUGGUAACCUUCAACUUUAACAAUUAUUCCAUAAAACAUCUUCCCCAUUAUUAAAAUAAAUGAUAAAAAAAAUGAGGCAAUAGUUUAGAUAUAAAAUCAAAAGAUGGGAUAAGAUCACAUAUUAUUUUAAUCAAAUUAUACAAAUUUAAUCAUAGUAGUUGGGAUAAUUUUAGGAGUUAGUUCCAUAGUUUAUAAAUUACAUAUAUUAUUCACAACUAUUAGCAUUUAUUUCAUCUAGAAAGAAGCAUUAAAACUAUUUAUAAUGUAAAAUCACCUUGGUACCUCAAGGGUCACAUCAAUAAAUAAGAAUAAGAUAUAGUAAAUAAUAUCACUUAUGCUUUACAAUUUCUUACAUAUUUGUUACUUCUCAAGUGGGUUUAUAUAUGUGUGUGUAUAUAUAUAUAUAACUAAAUAAAAGUAUGAUUAAAAUUCUAUAUUAAUAAAAGUACAUAUAUAGAUAUUUUAAGUUUAAGAGUAACAAUCAACUCUCAAGUAAUAUUUUUAAAACAAAGUGAAGCAUUUAAGUGUUAUAUAUAUAAUUGGAUUAGAAAAAGAAAAGAUAAAAAGUAAUAUGAAUAGGACAAGAAAGAUGGGAGCAAAACAUGUGGGAUACCUAAGAGAAGAGUUGGUCAAUGGGAAUCACAUCAUAUUAUCAAUACCAAUAUGUCCAAAAUGUCAGAAAUGUUAGAUUAGGUUAUCUAUUGUUUGUACUCUCCCAAACACUGCUACAUGUGUUUAAAAGUAAAUUUAAAUAUUAUCUCUUAAAUUGCUAUUUUUAAAUACAAUGAAAUAUUAUUAUAUUAUAAAAUUUUGUUAUAUUUAUAAAUAUUUAUGUAAAAAUUUAUAUAUUAAAGGUGGACGUGGAUUAAAAUAGAAGAGAUUUAAUGUAAAGUUUAAAUAUCAAAACGAAUAUUUUAAAGUAUAAUGUGAUAUAUUAUACUCCAGAAUUCAAACCCUAAUAUUCUUAUAGUCAAUUUUGAAAGGAGGGUAAAGUUGAUAAAAUGGCUUUUGAUUGUUUGGUAGCUAUUAUUCUCACUAGUGAAAGAGAAGUUUGUGUGUUUUGGUUAGUUUCCUCUCUCUCUCACACACACACAUAUAAUAUAUAUUUGCUUUCACUAACUACUCCCACUUUUAGGACUUUAUGAGUCAAAACCUUUGAAAUUAUUGGAAGUAAUUUUCAAACAAAAAGCAACUUUCAUACUUCUAACACCUUUUUAACAUAUGGUUUGAUAAAGCUUAAUUAUUUCUUUUGUACAAUUUGUCAUUGGAUGGAGUUACUUUAUCAUGUUUCUUUUAGAUUCAUUCGUCGUGAUUGAAAUUGAACUACUUAUUAAUUUACUCGUUGAGGCUAUUUGAGUGAUUUUUGGAUGUUUAAUUGUUUAAAUUUGAUGAUUUUCGACUGUAAUAUCGAUUUAGAAAGUUUAUUUGGUCAUUACUAAAGGUUAAAUAUCUUUGAAAACUGCUACAAUUAUUUAAAAUUGAAAGAUUAAAUCAUAGAAAAUACCUCAAAAUUGUCAUUUGUUUAAAAAAAAUUAUACCUUCAAAAGUUUAAUACAUACUAAACGUGGAUGGAAUGAAGGUGCAUCGAACUAUACACCAAAACACACAUCCAAUGCCAAAAGUGAAAAUAUUUCAAAAUUACUACGAAAUAUUUACGAAGGGUUAGAGGUAACACUUGAAGGUUUCAAUAUUACUUCUAACUUUCAUAAAUAUUUUAAAAUUUCCUUCGUGACAUGUUAAUGAUGUGACAGUGACCCGUUUUAUUACAUGAUUUCAAGUUUAAUUUUAUGUAUAAGUUAAUACAAUCACAAUAGUUUUGAAAAGACUAGAUACCUAACUUCAAUAUAAGAUAAUUUUGAGACAUUCAUGCUAACAAUUUUGUUACUAAUUUUUUAAUGUAUUUAGUCUUUAUGUUUUAAUCCUUUACCGUUCGAUAAAAAUUUCAUUAAAUAUAUUCAAUCUAAUUUAAAGAUUUUAUCGAAUCAUAAAAACUAAAUUCUACUUUUUUUACGUGAUACGACUAAAUUUGUGACUUAAACCAAAAUGAAAGAUAAAAAGAAGCAAGACUUACUCCAAUGGCAAAGUUGAGGGAAGCCAAGGCAGUGGUACUAGCAAUUCUUAUCCGAUAAGUUUUCUUGGGUUGAACAUGUAGGAUAAAUGGUGCACAUUUUUCUUUUCCACUCAACUCACAUUGCUUCAAACCUUGGUUGUAUUUGGCUGCUAUUGAACAGUCAAAUUGCCCUUUCCCAUUUAUCAAUAUGCUCUGAAAAAUAGUAAAAACACACAAAUAUACGAAGUUACAAUAUUAUUCUUGAACAAAUGUGAAGUAUAUAUAUAUAUAUGCAGAAUUUUAGAUGGAAAUUAAGACUGGAGAUGAAAUGUAUGGUGUUGGCAUGACAAAAUUUUACUUUAUCUUAUAUUCUCCCUAAAUGAAUUUUCAAAAUUUCGUAUUUUGUUUGUGUUAUAUAAAUUGAAUAUAUUUCAAACAAGGGAGGAUUGAUUUUGAAAGUGGGAGAAUAUAUAUAUUUUCUCCAAAUAUUUUUUUCUUUUGUUAGGAGCUAUGGCUUAACUUAGUACAUGUAUAUAUAUAUGUGUGUGAGAAAAGAUAUACAUGUGUUGUUUUAUCCUUGUAGUUUGAACAUGGUGUUCUUUUAAUUAGAUUAUACAUUAGAAAAUUAUUGAAAAAAUAUUACAUUAUAUUGAUAGAUGUUGAUAAAAUUCUAUCAAAUUCUAUUUGUGCAUUGAAAUUGUGAUCAAAUUUAAAAAAAUUUAUUUUUAUAAUGUAUUGGUUAAUUUUGUUUUUUAAAAAUGUUCGAUAUAUAUACUUAUCUUUUAUACCUAAACAAAGAAUAUUUUAAUUUAUUAAGCUUUCUUUUUAAACAGUGGAUUAUUAUAAGAAAAAGAAAGAAAAGAAAAGAAAUGGUCAUUGAAUUAGUUAAUAAUUUAAAUUAAGGAAAUUGAUUUAAGGGUAAGAAGGACAAAUUAUAUACCCACCAACCUCUCAAGUCUAUUCAAUCUACUAACUUUUCUUUUUCAAUUUUCAAAAUGCUUUAUUUAACAAAAAUAUAUUUUUUUUAACAAAUGAAAGCAGAUUCUUGAAAAAAAAAAUAGAAUGAAACUACUUACGAAAUAUAAAUAAUUUCGUCACCUAUUCAACGUUAUUCACAAGUUUGUAUGCAAAAAUAUAAAAUAAACAAAAUUCAGAAUAUGUACUUACUUACAAGUUUAAAUAAUCACUGACAUACAAAACCUAAAAAGUUAUGAACACUUAUUUUAUAUUUAUAACAAUUGAAGUCAAUUAUUUAUCUUGUUAUCAAACAAAUAUAAACCAAUCAUACAUUGAAAUUUUCAAGUCAAACAGUACAAGAGAUGAAGAAAAAAAUGAUCACACACACACACACUUCAAGAAGAGGAAUGGAAAAGGACAGAGGAAAAAGAAUAAUUGGUGGAAUAGUGGUUUUGGUUGUGUAAAGCAAAUUUCAGCGAUGCAUUUUUUCUCAACUUUUUCUCAUGUGUAAUAAAAUAGGAAAGAAAACAAUUAACUUUAAAAGUGGUUUGUUGAUCAUCGUCAUUUAAACAAUAAUAUCCAAAUCUCAACUUUACAUAAUGAAUAACACUUCUUGAUUUUGAAAAAAAAAAAACAAUUAAUUUUUACGCUUAAUUAUGUUAAAAACUUUGUGUUGAAAAUGUGUUUUAAAGUUAUAAAUAUGUUUAAUUAUGUGUUAAAAGUACAUCUUUAAUUUAAAGUUCUACUCGUUACAUCAAUCUCCAUCUUUUUUAAAUUAGUAAGUAGGGAUCUUUUUGAAAUACAAAAGAACAAAAAUUAAACUUUUCUAACCAGUUAGUGAAAAGAAAUUAAACUUUUCAAAAUUAGAGGCAUGUUUCAAAAGCUAAUGAGUCUUCUUUUUUUUUCCUAAUUUAACUAAAUACUAAUAAAUGAUUGUCAAUUCAUAGUUGAUAAAGUAGAGAUGGACCAAUUGACACUACUUUAUUCAUACAUAUUGUCAAAAAGAACUAAAAAAAGAAUACUUAGUUGGUAAAGCACUAAUUACCUGAGGCUCACCAAUCCAACGCAUUGGUUUGGAGCUGAGACCAACUUCUUGCUUGUGAACACUCUGAUGCCACCAAUCACUAAGCAAUAAGUUGAUCUCUUCGUCAUAAUGGAAUGGCUCAGAUCUUCCUUCUGGUGGAUCCACUAUCAAAGAUCCAUACAACCCAGCCGAUCUUUGCAUCCCUAAAUGGCCAUGAUAGAAAUAUGUCCCAGCCUACAGUAAAAUAUGAAUAAAUAUUAUAAAACAACUUGCAAUAUUUCCUAUGGACUCAAUACGUUUUAAACCCUUCUUACCUUAUCUACCACAAACCGGUAAGUGAAGGUCUCACCCGGGUUAAUGGCACACUGCGAGAUGGAAGCAGUGCCAUCAGCCCAAGGAGUACCUCGUUGUAGGAUUCCAUGCCAAUGAAUAACAACACCUUCAGUGUGGAGCUUGUUAGUUAGCUCCACAACGACGAUGUCGCCAGCGUUGGCUCUAAUCGUCGGUCCAGGGAACUCGCCGUUGAUUCCCAUAACAAUGUUUUCAACACAAUCUGGCGACCAAAACAUGUACUCAACAUCCCAUUUGUAGUGUUUUAUUUUGGGAAAACCUGCCUCAGAGAGAGUUAUUCCAAAUCCAAAAAUGAUUGACAAAACAAGGAAGGAUAGAAAAGGCUUGGGGAAGAAAGGCUUAUCUGCAACUUUUGCCAUUUCGAAGGGUUGAGGAGAUGAAAGGGAAGAAUAAUGAUGCAAUGAGGAAAAAGGAAGAAAGGAAAAAAGUGGGAAGUUUGUGUGUAAGAUGCCACUAGAGUUUGCAAUUUGCCUCCUUUUUAUAAUGAAAUUUUGAGAUAUUUUGUUUACCCACUCCCUCUCUUUCGUUAAGUCAAGUGGUUGAUUUUAAUUCUAAUUUUCAUUUUUAUUUUCAUUUGUUGUGUGUGUGUAUAAUAUAUAUAUAUAUAAAUAUAUAUAAUUAAUUUGUGUGUUUAUACUUUUUUCUUUAAAAAAUUACUACAAAAGAAAUGGAAACUGUCUCUCAAUCAAUCUCAGACCUAUAUGAAAUGAGAGACAUCUAUGGAAAGAGAUUAAAUUCAAAUGUAGGACCCUAUAAAUGUUGAUCUAUAAUAAUUAAAUUAUAUAUAUAUAUAUAUUAGGUUUGCUAUAUAUAUACACACACUAUGAAAGAUUCCAUUUAUCUUUUAGGUUGUUUGUUUUUUGGAUCUAGAUAAUAAUCAAAGAGCUAGUUGUUUCAAUGUUUGGAUGUAUUUAUUUGACUAAGUUAUAAAGUAAUGCUUGAAAAUAUCAAUAUUAUUAGUUAUGUUUGCUUUGUAAAAUUUGUGUGCAAGAAAUAUGUGUGUUGAGAAUUAUGUUAUAUACCAAGAUUGUUCAAACAAAUUUUAGGCAACUUAAAUUAACAAUAGUUCGAUACAUUGUUAUGGAUACUUUUUGGGUUAAAGUAUAAAAUCGAUAUGAUGAUAAAUAAGAGAAAGUCAUCGGGUGAUCAAGAAAGCAACAAUAAAUAGGGGCUCGCUAUCCGGCCAAGAUAAUAAAAUUGGCUUAAAGAAAAGAACUAAUUUGUCCCGAUUGGUUUGCUUCGACCAAGGCUGAACCUACACAAAACAUAUAUCGUUACAUCCCAUGCAUGAUGUGAGCUCACACACGAGCCUUAAGAAGAGGAUUGACUUGACCUAAAACCACUUCGAUCGACUCUACUUUGUCCUUUGUGAAGGCUUAACUCACUAAGUCAAACCUAUUUUAAUGUUCUAGAACAAAUUAAAAGAGAAUAUUUAGAAGCUUAGGAAAACACUCUUCCUAAUUAAGGAGAGGAGAAUCCAAUCACCCGCUUUAUAAAUAAGAUGGUAAAAAGACAUAAAAUGUUAGUCGUUCUCUCUCCAGUAACAUCAUACUAUAAUAAAAUCUUUAGAUCAUUUUCCUUGUUUUAAGUAACAAAGUGUGUGACGCCCUAUAUCAUACCAGUGUGUCGUUCUUGCUAAUUAACUCGUAGUUGAUCUUCUUCACCAAAAUAUAUAUUUAUCAUAGUUAUCGCUUUGAGGUCAGAUCAUUUUACCUGCUCAAAUUUUAGAAAAUUAUUUAAAUUCAUUUAACAUGUUUUCUUCGUGGUAAAUUUAUUUAUUCAAUAUUUUAAUAUUUUAAUUUUAUAUCAAUUAGGUAUACACUAACUUUAUUGGUUGUUAAAUUUUAUUUAUUCAACUUUACUUGAUGGUGAUGGUUUUGUAGGCCUUCGGGCAUUUUGGUUCUUUAAUCAAUGAAGUUCUUUUGAAUAUACAAUAUAUGUAUGUUGUAUAUAUAUGAUUUAUUAAAUUGUAAUCAUUUUCAAGAAAAGACAAUUAAUAUUUAAUUAUGAUAGUUUUAAUAGAUCACGUUUAUUUGAUUGCAAGAUUAUAAUUUUUUGUGUGAUUUUUUAGUACAAAACAUUGACUUACUCAAUUAUCCAUCUCUGAGUCGGUAACUAAUCUAUUUUUAUCUCAAUUGAACUAUAUUGAGUUGAAUAUAUAUAUUUAAUAAUUUAAAUUUUAAAAGUAAAAGUGGAUAAUUAUAUCAAAUAAGAAUAUGAACAGUUGGACACUUAUGAAAUCUAGUACGUUCAUGUUUACAAACUCACUUCAAUUCUUUGAAGAAAAAAAACAAAAUACAUGUUUAAUAUGUUAAGGCUAAACUAUGAGUUUUGAUCCCUAUAAUUUGAAUAAUAAGGUUAAAGUUUUAGUUCAUAAAAUCAAGAGUAAUUUAUUAUCAUCUAACAUAUUGAGGGGAUAACCACGACUACUUUACUAUGUUGAAAUUAUUAAAAUGUUCCCAAUUUCUAAAUUAUGUUAUUAAAUACACAUUGGAAACAUUUCAUUCAAAUUUUUUUAUUUAAAUUUUGUGUUUUCAAAUUUCUAUUUUCAAACUGUCUUUAACCUACAUAUUCAUUUAAUAGAUAUUUUAGAUUUUUUCCAAACAAACAACUUCUUUAUUUAUAUGCUUUGUUCUGUGUUUGUGUUUGCAAGUUAAGUUAACGAUUUGUUGUAUUUAACAACAUUCAAUGAGUCAAAAACUAUAUCUAACUUAAUUAACGAAAAGUAUAUAUCACUUCGAUAAAAAAGUGAAAUUUCAUAUCCUUUUCUUUUCAAAAAUCAAGCAGGGUAGGUCAUAUCAACACGCAUUUUUUUAAAAUAUUGUUGUUUCAAAAAGAAAAUAGUAAAAUAUGGUUGUUGGUAAGAUAUACUUUAUAAAAGGAAUAAAAUAACUGAAAUUAUGAACUAAAACAAAUGUAAGGAUUGGAGUGGGGAAAUGGUGAUGUUAUAUAAAAUAUAGACAAGUUGAGACAAAAGUAAGGAUAAGAAAAAGUGCAUCAAACUUUUUAAUUUUCAAAAAUCAUUCUAUUUUUCUUUUUAUAAUAUAUAUAUAUAUUAUAAAGUUCUAAUAUUUAAUAAGGUAAAUCCAUGUAUAUAAUCUUGCUAUUUAUUUUUAAACUCUCUAACCACCCAUUAUCGAUUGAUGGAUAUAAAAUUUUGAAUAUACAAGAAUUGAAAUAUUUAAAAUCCUAAAAAUGUUCAUUUUUGAAAAUUGGUGAAAUAUAAAAAGUAAAUGUUUGUGUUUAUUUUAUUAGUUUUUGUUUACAAUAAUUCUUCUAAAUUAAAGGUAAUUGUUUUUAUUAUAAGAUUGAUCAAAGUUAUGUUUAUAAAUAUAGGAAUAUUUUCAUUAGCUCUCUUAUCAAUAAUAAAUAUUUUAUUAUUUAGUUUAUAUUUAAUUAAUUAAUAAGGAAUAUUCUCCCUAAAAUUAGUUUACAAAUUAACUAAAAAGUAAUCAAUGAUUAACUUUCUCUCUCCUCUAUUGUUCAUUUUUCAAAGAAAAAUAGGUCUAAUCUCCAAUAAGAACAAUAAUACAAAUUAAUUCAAAGUUUAUACUCCAUUAUGAUACUUUUAUAUUUGGAUAAUAAUUAUCUAUUUAUUAAAAUAAAUAUCCACCGAACAAACGUUAGUUGAUGAGAGAAUACAUUUUCUUUUAAACAUUUUCUUGAAAAUGAGUUUAAAUUUAAACAUUUACAUGUUUGAUUAGAUUUUUUUAUGAGUGUUUAUAUAUGAAUUUUGUUUAAUUUAUCUUAAACCAAAAAUGUUUAUACUUAACUCAAAUUAUACCAUAAAUGACUACUAAACAGUAUGACCUAAUUUCAUAAAAAAUACAUAUAUUUUAAAUUUAAAAAAAUAUAUAUACUUUGAAAUUAAUGGCACAAUCUUUUGGAACUAAUUGUUUUAAAAUUUUGAAAUUAGUAAAGUUAGAACCAAAAACAUUAUUUUUUUAUUACUUUUUUUAGAUAGUUUUAUUUUAGAAGUAGAGGUAUACUGAUAUCUAAAUUCAUAAUCAAGAUAAAAAAUAAAAAUAAAUAAGAGAAAAGAAAAUUAAUAAUAACACCAGAAAUAAAGGGAGCUUGAUUUAUUAUAUUGUUUUAGUAAUUAUUCAAAAUAAAAGAAAGAAAAACGUGAGAUAAAAAUUGCCAAUUUUUCAACUUUAAUUUAUAAAAGUUUGGUUUUUAAUGAUUUCUUUAAAAUGAAUUAUUUUAUAAACGAUUUUUUUAAAAAAAUGCAUUAUUCUAAUUUUUCAUAUACGAAAUUUUUUUUUUACAAAAUUAAACACUUCAAAAUCUCAAUCAAACACAUCAUAAUUCUUAUUAAUUUUUAAUAAACUUUUUGUCGUUUGUAAUUAAGUGUGUUUAUUUAUUUUAUUAGUAGUCUUCAUCUUUUUCUAAUUAAACAAUUUUAGUUCAAUUUUAACACGAAAAUAAGUUUUAAAAUGAUAUAUUAUCAUACCAUGAUUUUGUUUGUGACUUUUUAUAAAAUUAAAUAAACCAAGUGAAGAAAUCAAUAUUAAUUUUCUAACCAUAUUUUUAAAACAAUAAAGACCCAAAAACAAGUUUAAUUACUCUUUUAUAACUAGCAAUAAACUUUUUCUUUAGUACUAAUUAGCAAUAAAUUAUUGAGUACUGUGUUUACAUUAUUCGAACUUAAAUUGUGGUAACAUUGGGUCCCAUUUCUACUUCUAGGGCUUAUUUGGGUUUUCAUUACAAAUCACAAUUUACACUUUUGUUAACCUAAUUUUUUUCUACUCUUCUUUCUUAAGGUCAAUUUUCAAUUAGAAAGUUUCAUAAUAUAUAUAUACACACACUUCGUUUUUCCAACUUUUUCACAUUUUGGUACUUUAGAAAAUAAUAAUAAAUAAUAACUAUGUAAUUUAAAAUUUUCUAUUUGUCCACCCUCGUAUUUUCGUAGUUGUCGAUCAUGACUGAGUAUUUAGCUAUAAAAAGGAUUAUCCAAUAAAUCAUCCAAAAGAGAGUGAUUUUAUUUAACAAAGUAUGGUGGCCGACUCAUCGAUUCAACAAUUAGAAUGACUAAAUAGAUAAUUAAUUUGAACUGAUUAGAAACAUAAAGGUCAACUCUGAGACAAUCAACCAUCAAAGUUAAGAAAAUCAAUUAUGUGGAUUUCAUGAAGGUCGACUCAUAGGGUUAGUUAUGGUAGACAAAUAUAAGGCCUAAGCAUGUAGAUAAACCCAUAGAAAUCAGAGUGGCUAUAUAACGUAAGAUCAAGAUCAACAUUACGAAGGCAAAGAUUAUUAUGCCUAAAUAAGUGUUUUACUUUUACAUAUGUUUGGGUCAUUAGUAAAGUAAAUCCACCACUUCAUAGCGGCUAAGUAACGAUUUGAUUAAUGAAUCAAGAAGUUAAUUAGCAAAUGGUCAUUACAAAUACGUUGUUUUUUUAUAAACAACAGGGUGCAUGAUGCUUGUUCGCUUCCUCUGAACAAGCUUUGAAAAUUCAUGGUUGGUACCGAAGUUUGGUAUUGAAAAAGUAUAAAUAAUUGUUCAUAUUACUUUUGUUCAUAUAAUGUCAUAAAAGGAAUAUUUAAAUGCGUGACAUAAAAGACAAUAACAUAUCAUCAAUUGAGGAGUCAAAUCACCCAUGGAAGAAGUAUUUAUGACAGUGGUACCACAAAUUUCAUACACCCGAUGUUAGCAAGUUCCAAGAUAUGUUAGUAACUCGUUGAAACAAGAUGCUUUUUACAAGAAGCUUUUAGUUCUAAAAUGGAAUAACAAUUUAUUAUUUAUUUGCUUUUAUUUUAAAAUGAAAGUAACAUAUCUUAUUUAGGAAAAUUAAUUUUGAUAUGAAUUUAUAAAUUUUCAAGUCAUUGAAAAAAUACUUUUUUCUAAAUUUAAUUAGGGUUUUAAUCCAAUUUAUUUUGUAUCUAGAAGUUACAAAAGGUUACAUUCUACGUUGAUGGAGUAAAAAUUUCAAAUUGGUUUGAAAAAAAUAUGGUAAGAAAACUAAUUAAUAAUUAUAAUUCUUCAAAAUUAAUUAACAUUAACAAUAAGUACCAAAGGGGUUAUUUAGUGAAAUUAAAUUUAAUUUAAAAGUUAGCCGCAAAAUGAAAAUAAAAACUUAAAACUUGGGUAGAUAUAUAAUAUUUUGAAACUUAUAGAAAAUGAAUCUUAAACUUAAAACUAAUGAUAAAUAUUAUAGUAGUUCAAAAUGUAUAAACUAACAUCAUGUUUACCGAACUAUAAAAAAAAUUGAUGUGAUUAUGAAAAAAAAUUUAUUGAUGGAUCAAUUGUAAUGAACUUGAAUCGUAAAUAUAACUAUAUUGUUUUUUUACGGCGUUUACUUACAAUCAAGAACUUUGUCAUAUUUAUUUUUACUUUUACCUCUAUCUCUUAAGGUCAAACAGUAACGUCGAUAAUAGUAAAAGAUGUCAAAAUUGAUAAUUUUUCAGUUGUAACAAUAAAAAUAACAGUAGAGAUAAUUAUAAUAAUAAAGUUAGCAAUACAAUGUAAUUUUCAAAGGAACGGUUGCAAAAAUAACCAAAAAUGUUAUGAUAAUAGGUUCUAUAUUAUUAUAUUUUAUAAAUUGCAAAAAUAACAAAUUUAAAAAUCGACAACCUUUUAAUAACCCUAUGAUAUAAUUAAUUUUGUCAUAUUAGCAAUAUAUAUAGAAAAAUAAGUGUUGUUGAAUAUUUUUUUCUAAAUGUUUUUAUCAUAUCAUACAAUUUUUUAUUUUGAAACGUAAUGAAAUUAUGAAAAGAAGUUUUUUGGAAAAAUAUAAAAAUUUGAAAAUUUUGAAAUAAUUGAAAAGAAAAGGGAAAACGCGUUAUGUGAUUUGAUUGAAUUGCAAAAGGGCAGGCCGAGGCUGCUCCCUUUAUUGUUUUUGUAUUAUCACAUAUCUAUAUUCAUUUCUCACGUGGGAAAAUGAAAAUAAUAUCUCUUCUUGCUCCCUACCCUUAUUAUCUACUCCUUCCCUUACAUUCCUUUUCUUCCACUUUUCUUUUAAUUUAAGAAUUUUUAGCCUUAAAGCCAAGUGAUAAUUGACAUCUCAUUUUCGAUCUGGCCUACAUGUGUGAGAUUUUGUCUUGGUAAGUUUACCAUAAUAGGAUGGUAACAAAUAAUUAAGGAAACUUUAAUUUUAUAGAGUAGGUCUACAAAAUAAUAAUGAUGAGUAUUUUUAAUAUAGUAAAAUAAAUUGAAAUAUUUACGAAAACAUACCAACAUUUCAUAUUUUAUAUGCUCAAUUUAUAUAUAAAACAUUGUAUAAUUGAAGGUUCAGUCCAAUAAUUGUAAUAUUCAAUGCUUCACUUUACUUCACUAUAAAUAUACUAUAAAUAUUCAAUAGAGUUGUCCAUUAUUUCAAAAGCAAAUGCCUUUACAAUGAGGAUACUGAGAUUUCCAUUCUUUUUUACUUGCAUAUGCAAAACUUUGACUAACAUAAAACGUAUUAAAUUCAACACCAAACAAAUUAAAAUAAUAUACAUGUUUUUUUUCACCCGUUUUAUUUUAGUACAAUAACUAUGAGAGAGAUGAUUGAGUAGACUUUUAAAGAUAAAAUUGAUGUCAAUCAUAUUAACCUAAUUAAGCUCGUUUUGAUAGUAUAACUUUGUCGAUGAUACGUUAGAUUUUCGUAAAGUUAAAAGAUUCAAAAUUGAUAAAAAAAUAAUUUAAAAAAGAAAAGAAAAAUGACAAAAUGGUGAUGUAGGAUUUUUUUUUUCUAUAUUCGUAAAUACAUUGAUAUUUUUUGAAAUACCCCAUUCAAAAUUCUUCUUCAAAUUUAUGAAAUUAGAAAAAUUAAAUAAGUUACAAUUGUUUAAUUACUACAAUUCAACCCAAUAUUAACCAUAUAUAAAUUAAUUAAUGAUUCUUCUCAAAGAAAAAUGUGUAUAUAAAUUAUCACCCCAAUUUUGUGGCACUAAAUGACCCAUUUUGUGCACUAAACAACAACAUUGAUAAUUACUAAUUAAUAUUAAUUAGUUAAAUUUUGAUUGACGGAUGACUUUAAUUAUUUAGUACUCUUAUUGAUGAUCAUCAUCAACUUGGCUUGAUACUGAUAUGUUUAGAAUAAAUGAUUGAUUUACAUUAAUUAUGCAAAUAAUUGUUUAAACAAUUUGAGAUGGAAUAUAAUUAUAAAAAAUGUAUAUGGAGAAAUUUUGAUGCGUAUAAAAAUGUCAAACUAUUUACCGAUAAUAGUAAGAUCGAAAAACACUUAUAGACAUUCAUAAACUUUAUCAAUGAUAUUCGUAUAUCGAUUUUCAUUACUGAUAGACAUCAAUAAAAUUUAUGAUAUAGACUUUUAUAAGUUUCUAUCUGCAUCUAUUAGUGAUAAGAUUAUGAAUUAUUAUCCAAAUAUAAACUAAAUCAAACCACACGAUCGUUAAGUUUGAGAGUGUAACGGUAGCUGCUUGUGUACCACAAAAAUAGUUUUUGAGAUUUAUCGGAUAAAAUAAUAACGUGAGCACAUGGCAAAAUGAAGUACGUUAAAAUAAAGAAAAAGGCAGUCUACCCCACACCAUAAACAUAGCCUUUUGGAGUGGGGAUUGAGACAACUCACUGUCCAUCUUCAAUAACUCAACUUUGUGUGUAACCAUUGCUUCAAUUCAUUAUUGGAUAGGACGUAGAUCUUUUAAGUUCUCUACUUCUACUUCAAACCACAAACAUUUAAAACCAAGUUAUUAUGAUUAUUAUUAUUUACUAUGUUUUUAUAAAUAGAGAUGCGAAUAGCACAGUUGGGAUUGAUUCAGUUAUUUAUUCAUUUCUUUAUGUUGAUCAUAAGCUAAAGAAUAAGAAUAUUGUAAACCAAAAUUGUUUGAUCGAAAAUAAUUUACAAAAUUUUAGAGAUUUGAUUAUCUAUUCCAAAACGGUUUGAUGUGUCCUUAAUAUAACUUUUGAAAUUAAAGGGAUUCAAUAUGGGUUAUCCUUAUACUCAAGUUCAAAAGUUAUUUGACAAUGGAAUAGGUACAUUCCAACUAAUAGGGAUUAAGUUGCUAAAGUGAAGAAUAAAUAAUACACUAAUUUUAAAAAAAUAAUAAAUAUAAGAAAACUCGAGGGAAAAAUCAACUUUUUCUUAACUUGGUAACGUAAAUGAAAAUGAUCGAAACUAAAAAAAAAUAAGGGGUCUUUUUAAAAAUAUAACAUAGCCACAAAAUAUUUACACGAUAUAUAACAAUUUCAAAAAUGGAAAAAAGCCCACACAGAUCCACCGUGAGAAAUACCAAAAAUAUCACGUGAUUAAUUGACAUCUAGUGCGCAUAAUUUUCUAUACCAUCGUUUAGAUUUGGAGUCAAGUCUAAAUGAUUUUUUUUCAAUAUUUUUUGGUACACGAUAGUUUAUAUUUGAAACACAAUCGUUUAUGUUUGAAAAACAAUCAUUUAGAUUUGACCUUUUAAAUUUGGCUACCCAGAUCUAAAGAAUUUUUCUUUUAAAAUUCUUUGUACAUAAUCGAUUUUUUAAAGAUUUUUUGUACACGAUCGUUUAGAUUUGACUAUCUAAUAUCCUAACGAUUUUUUUUUUUUAACAAUCUUUUAUUUUUGGAACAACGAUCUUGAACCAAAUAACAAUUUGAAAAGAAAAAAAAACUGCAGAAGAAAAAGACAACGAAAAUAAGAGUAGAAAUACGAUGAAAACGAAUGACAGACUUGAAAUAUUUUUAAAAAAUAGCAAGUUUGAUGGACUUUUUUAUUUUGUUACAUGGACCGUAAAUGUUUCACUGGACUGUUAUAUUUGUGAAAAUUAACGAAAAAGAAUAAGAGGAUUAUGAUUUUGAAGAUUGAAGAGAGUUGUAGGAGCAUGUGGUAUGAAGUUUGAUGAAUGAUUGUGAUAUGAUUUUAUAUGUUGUGAGAUCCUUUUAUUGCAUGUUGCAUGCCAAAUGAGUUAAGUGGUAAUUAUAUACUCUCUUAAUAGCAACUAUUCACACACUAGUCUUUGUCCCUUCGGGUACACCAAUUACUUUGAAUAUGUCUCACCUAUAAUACUAUAUAUUUAGUUAUUAUUCACUUAAAUGUUUCUUCAUAUAAAAUAUUUUUGUGUAGCUUCACCUCUAUAGUGUACGUAUUUUAAAUAUUCAUCCUUUCAUGAAACGUGUUAUUUUAAUCAACAUUUUAAGGGAUUCCAAAACCUAAGUUUGUUUUGAAAUUCCUACAAAAUUAUUUUACUCAUGUUUUAUUUAAUCAUCUAAUAAAGAUGUUUAUUUUAAGUAAGGAGGCCCCCUACUAUAAUUAUCUAAAGGAUCAUUUGAUUCAAUGUUUAUCUUGACGGUCAUGUACGUCAAGAAAAGCCUUCUUGUUUUGUUGAAGGAAAUAUGACAAAAUGUAAAAAAGAAAAUGUGGAUUCUUAAUUUUCUUGAUGGACAAAGUAAAGUUUUCUUAGUUUUAUUGAUGAUUCACAAACGUCAAGAAAACUAUUUCUUGAUGGACAAUACACAUCCAGGAUAAUAUAUUAGUUGGACUGACAAUAUUAGGUUUUUUUAUGAACGAUACCCAUCAAGAGAUGAAUUUUUGUGAUUCGCAAUAGCCAUCAUUGAAAAAAAUUAAUAUAUUUCUUUUGAAUUUCUUGAUGGGUCUAGGGUUUCUUGAUAGACAAAGACAAAAAAAAAAAAAAAUUAUGGGCAAUAUCCAUCCAGAAAAAUGGUAUGCUCGUCAAGAAAUUUUUUUAUAAUUUUGGGUUUAGGAUAAAAUCAUUUGUAUGACCCAUUAAGAAAAAUGAUAUGUCCAUCAAAGAAAAAAAUUAUUUUUCACAAAACACGAAAUUUAGACCCUUGUUAACCGACUCAGUGAGCACCAUAUUCAUCAAUAAAUGCCUUAAACAUUUACUAUUUUUUUUUCAAUUAUUACUUUCUAUUCAUCAAUAAUACAAUAUUAUUUUUCUAAAAGUUAAUUGUAUUAUUACUUUUCUAAAAGUUAAUUGUUUUAAUUAUAACUAGAUUGAAAUAAAUGUCUUUAUCAAAAUAAUUAUUGUGUUUAACUUUAAUGAGUUUUGAAGUUUGUAAUUUAGGAUUUUUAAAAUUUGUAGAAACUGGUUAACAUGAGCUUAGUUCAACGGAAACAUAUAUGCACAUGUGGCCAAGAGGUCCCCAAAUUCAAAUAUCACCACUUGCAUUAAAAAUUUGUAGAAGCUGUUUAUAAAUUUGGAAUUCAACGUUACAAAUGUUAGUACAAGAAUCAAUUAGCAAGGAGCUAAGGUGGGUGUGAGAAAAGAUGAACUCAAGAUCAUGAAGAUAAAGUCUCGUGUGCAUGUAGUGGCGGACGAUAAACUCCAAUUAACUAGCGAUUAUCAUUUUGAUAAAAUCUAAGAUUUUACUAUAUUUUACAAAUAUUUUUAACAAUUUUUUAAUUAACUAUCCAUUUCCUAAUAUUUAAAUAACUUUGCAUACUUCUUCAAAACUUUUAGAUUAAAUUAAAAAAAAAAAGUUAUAAAGAAAAAAGAAAGUUAGAAAAUGUCAGAAAAGUCAUGAAAAAAAGCUAUGGUUCACUCCACAAGUGACAAUUGCUAGAAAAUGAAAAACUGCCAAAAGGCAACAAAGGAAAAACACAGUUGCCCAACCUUUAUCAUAUAUAUGUAUCAGUUCUUUUCCAUCACUGUUUUGGACCAAUUAGUUCAUGAUUUAAAUAUGAAAAUACAAACACAAAAUGAGAAAAAAGGGGGGGUUCACUUCACGUGAAUCACUAAUGCCCACACCAUAACCUACUGCCCCAUCGUAAUUAAUGUAUUGUUACACACAAAAUCCCAAAACUUAAACAUCCUGUACUGUGCUAGAGGGUGACGGUGGGUAGUGCCAUUUGCCAACCCAAGCGGGCACCAAACAACGAACCCAACAUCGCAUCGCCCUUGUAAGCAGCAGUCUACUCAACAAAAUCCACAAGCUUCGUAUAAUAACCAUCCCCAGCCAAGUUUAAUUUAUUGCACUGAUAAGAAUCAGUACAAUCAGACAAACUGGAGGGGAGGACCAAAAGAGUUUACUCUAAAGAGACAAACCUAAUAGUAAUUGCUUCAAGAAUUUUGAUAUUUCAUUUGUAUUCAACCUUGGUACAACUUGCAAAAGAAACCAAACAUUUUUAAUGCUUACUUUGAAGUUUUGAGAAAUCAUUGAUACACACGUUUUAAUUUUGAGGAUUAAAAAAUGUAAUUUAUUCUGAAUUCUUCUAUCAAAUUAAAAUAUUAUUUAAGUUUUUUAACUUGCUUCCUGUUUUGACUCACAAACUUCCUCACAAAAAGUUAAAUAAUUACUCAACUCUACUAAUAUUGAAGUUUGUAUAUUGAUUGAAAAACUCUAUCAAUGAAUCCAAUUGUUUCCCCCGCCAAUGACAAAACUCGGGUGAUAUUCAUUGCUAAAGACAUGCUUUGAUGACCACUUCUAAUGUCUAACUUCAGAAGCACCUGUUGUUGAUGACCACUACUGCCCUAUUCCAACUACAAUGGUUUGAUGACCACCUCUGGCAGCAAACCCCAAUAUUUUACCACCUCCAACAAUCCUCUCCCGCGACCACCUCUGGCGUUCAACUCCGCUUAAGUACUACUACCUCCAACAACCCUACAUUAGUGAUCACCUACAGUGACCAACUGCGAGCACCAAGUUAUUGAUCAUCUUCAACAUUAACUCCCAAUGACCAUCUCAAUCAAUCAUAUACUAGAAAAGCAUGAUCAUUAGUGAAAGUGUUUUAUAAGCAUAAAAACAAUGGGUUAACAGGUACACCCAGAUCAUUUCCACUAGAUGAACAUCUCCUUUAACACUCUUAGCAUUCCUACUUUAUUGAUGAUCAAGAAAUACAAUACAUGAAGCAAGGAACAAGUAAAAAGGGCUAGAAAUAAGUCAGAACAAGAUCCUAAAAUUAUACAAAAGCUUGAAGAUUUACAACAAUAAAGCUAACAAUGUAAUUGUUAAAGAGAUUUGAUCUACUAUUCCAAUAUCUGGUGAGAGUUUGAAUGUCUUCCCUCCACCAUGGAACUAUUCUUAUUCUUGAAAUUUUUGUUGUUCUUCUCAAACCAAAUGGUCCAAAGGAACAAAUGAUGUUAAAAACAAUAGUAUCUAUUUUCCUUUUUUAUGCCACAGAUGUUCUUGCAUAAUGAAGCUAUAUUGUUCAUAAUGUUUAACAAUUGUCUUAUAUAGUAAUCUUACAUUAAUAUAAAUACUUUAAUUUGAGCAUUACAGUCAAACCAAGAAAUUGUGUAUGAAAACACUUCAUGAGAAAAUGAACCUAAUAACCCAUUUGUAUUUUUUAAAAAUAGUUUUUAAUUAUAAGAGUUAAAAAUGCAAAUGACUUUCUAAAAAACAUUUUACAGCUCAACCAUUGGAUACCACCAUGAUUGCAUCUUUUCAAAUGCUCAACUUCUUUCUUCAACCCUCAUUACAAGUAUAAACUCUAAUGAUUUUAUUUUUAUUUUCAUCCAAAAUGUCCUCUCGUAUCAUUCAAGAUAGUUAUCCUUUCAUAUAUACUCAUUGUUGCGAAAUCAACAAUUAAAUAAUAGAAGAAUAUAAAGAUCGACAUAAAAAGAUAUGUGUGGUUCAUUAACAGUGUAUUAGCUAUAUUCACGUAUAGAGAAAAAAACAAAUAUUAUUAGAGCGAAUGUUUUCACAAUACAAUAUAUGACGUCACUGGAUUAGAAAGUUUAUAUAUAUGCACUUCUCUAAACCUUAAGCUUAAAAUCAUAAAUAACAACAUAUGCACAUCUCAAUUGUUUAUUUAGUGCCACAUAAAGAACCCAAGAAGAACACCCAUGAUUAUGAUCCUCUCAUCCAUGCAAUGUGCGUGCGACUUCGAUCACAUUCCUAAUACUAAAAUAGAGGCAUAAUACACUGCAAUCUACAAUUUGACAUAAUGCCAUACAAAGUCCUAUGCCACCCCUUGAUGAAGUACUACGUUUUUUAUGCAUUUUACUUUGAUACAUUCUAAUUUCUACUAUUCAGAAAGUGUAAAUUUUUUAUGUUUAAUUUGUGUAAAAUAAUAGUAUUUUGCAAACCUCGAGUAGAAUGGUUACAUAUUUUUAGGAGAAUUGUGACUAGCUAGAGAGAGUCAUUAGGGUACAAUUAGUUUUACUCACAUUAUAAUUAUGGUCUUUUUUUAAUGAUCAAAUUACUUAAAUCAUAUAUAAUUAUAUGAUUUUUUAUCCGUCGUUGGGAUUAAUAAUUGGAAAAUUACAUCAAAUAACAAAAACAUUUAGAAAAAAAACAAUUCACGACACUAAUUAUUUUGCAUAUUGUGAAUAUAAAAAAAAAGAGUGAUAUCAAAUGAUUAUCAGACAGUAAUCGAAGGACUAUCAAACGAUGGUCAUAAGACUAUGAGACAAUCACCACUUUUAUAUUUGUUAAUUUUACAAAUUUAGAAAAUAGUGUGACAUGAACUCUAUUAUCAUAAAAAAAAUUCUAUUUUUGCAAAAGCCUCUUAAUAAUUGUGUCUCAUCAUCGUGAAAAUCAUCCUAAUUUAUCUAAUACAUUAUUGGAAGAAAGAAACUUUCAUAUUCUUUUUUCAUAGCUAUUCAUUAUUAAACAUGAAAAUAUAAAAGAUGGACAUUGGCAUCCAACAUAUUUACUAGAGCUAGUUAUAUAGUUUAGUAGUUAAGAUAUAUAUCUGUAUACUUUUAACCUCAAACGUCAAAGUUUGAUGUGAUUCCAACUCUACAAUUAUUGAAUUUAGAAAACAUGCAUAUAUACAUAGAUUAGAAAAAAGUAUAUAUUAAAAGCAUGAAAAUUUUUCCAUUGAUCUUGAAAUUGUAUAGAGUAAAUAAGGGACCUUGGAAGCCAUUUAGUAGCAUCAUUUUUCUGUCGUAAGCUUUAAGAAUUAAUACUACUUACUACUUGUUCUCUAAGUCAUCACGUCUCGGUCAUGUUGGCGAUUGCAAAUUGUUGGAAAAAUAAAUAUCAAUCAUUAUUAUGUUGUAUGUUGAACCACUGUCUUAGAAACAAAACUUUGGUCCAAUCUUAGUGCUAAAUCGCAUAUAUUGGUUGUUCCACAAGAUUAACACAUCUCUAUUGCUCUUAAUUUAAAUGUUUUUGUAUAAUCUACUUUUUCGGAUUGGUUUCUGACUUUGGAUCUCCCUUGGACUUUCCUCUAGUCCUUAUUUUUGCUUCCUUGCUUCAUGUACCUAUCGUUUAUUAUUAAUAGAACGAGAAUGAUGAUGGUGCUACAAAUGUGUCUACCUAAUGAAGAUGUUUCAGUGCAUCUGCUAACUCAUAUCAUAUUUUUUUAGAAAAAAACGUAUACUUCUCUAACUCACCGUGGAAUGGAAUCAAACAAAAUGUUACUCAAAACAAACAAAUGAAAGUUUCAAAAAAGAAGAACCACUCCCAUCACCAAAAUCUUUCUUCAAAUAUAUAUAAUAGUUUUAAAUCUAUAAUUUUUAGUGCAUUAAAAUAUAUUAUUAUAACCACAAAACCAUUAAAUAUUCUAAUAAUUAUCAUUGAAACAUUAGUUAUAAAUCAUUACAAUAAUAGUCAUUCAAUUACACAAAUAUCCUAAAACGAGGCACAAAUCAUUACUAUAUAAAUUCAACUCGUAAUCGUGGCAAGUAUUAAGAGCAUCUUGAAUCAUCUAACAGCAUUCUUCUACCCAUUGGUUGGGUGGAUCAAAAUCAGUUGCAAUAUCAACACAUCCUAAUAAUAUGUAAUCACUUGCAAUUGGUGGAGGUGGUUGAUCAGCAGUGACAAAAGAAAAGAAAAAAGAAGGUUGAGAACUGGAGAAGAAGAGAGCAAGUGAAGAGGUUUUGUUGGAAGAACCCAAAAGAGGAAAUUCUUAGAGAGAUAUUUUUAGAGGGGUGAAAAGAUCAGUGUGGUAAUUAUGGAAGGGUUUCUAUAGGGUCUUAAGAAAGAGGGCUGUGCAUGAGCGUCCUGGUGGAUAAACUCAUUGUUAAUUAAGUUAGGCUCAUUAUCUAUAUUAAUUGAUUUGCAAAUCUUUAUGAAGUGGAGAUUACAAUAUUUGUUGAUCAUAUUUGCUGUGAUUUCCACUAAAUUACUUUGUCUUUCAGUGUUAGUGUGAUUUAAAAUAAGCAGGCAUUCGGUAUUUUAAAACUCAGUUAUUCCUCUCAAGUUGCAAUGCUGAAGAUAUUAUUGAUGAACAUAACAAAGUUAAUUAGUGGGCUAACCCAUUUUCUAAGAUAUUGGGGAUGAAAAAAAAUAAUUUUAAUAAUAAGUAUGCAAAACCUAAUGGGAAUUUGACUUUUCUCCAUGUCCAAACCAAAAUUAUCUCUUUAUGAAAAGAAUCAUUAAAAAUAUUUUUUAUUGGCAAUGUCAUCCAACCAUUUGUAUUAGGUUAAUCCCGAACAACGAAAUUUUACGUUCACCCCAAACUUAAAUCGCUCUCAAAUUUUGUGAGUAGAGAUUUCUUGAUUUGCAUACUACUUCAAACAACAAAUAUUUCAUGAUUGACAUGACUUAUCAAAAAAGAGUUACCUUGACUUUUCAUGGCUAUCCAACGAAUUCAAAAACUGAAAAAUCAUCAUUUUUACGAGAGACGACUUACAUAUUUAAUUUGUUUAUCAAGGAAGGUAAUUUUCUUGACGAACGUGCACAUUCAAGGUAAAUAUGAACAUUUAUUGUAUAAAAAAGUAUUUUUUUUUUAUGGUCAAGAAAACUAAGUUUGUGUGCGUAAGAAAAACAAAAGUUUAAAUGAAACAAGAGCAUUUUGUCGGCCAUAAAUAAUACAUUACGUUACGUACGUAUACAAAAAGAAAUGUAGAAUUUAUGUCUUAAGUUAAGUUGAUAUAUAUUUUUGUACGGUAAAUAUGUGUGUAACUGUAGUGUUAAACCAAAAAUUAAGCAAAAAAUUUAGUCUAGUUUUAGGUCAACAACAAAUGGGAAACAAAGAUUUCUUAACUUCACUGUCAUAUUAAUUUCAGAUUUUAGAACUUUACUCAAUUGGUCACUUAGAAGGCUACGUUUUUUAUUUUCUAUAAAAUAAAGUAAUGUAUUUCAAUAUGUCCUUUCUUUUAUUAUCCACAAAUAAGUUGAAUUGUCCACUUGUCACUCACACAUAAGAUAAAAUAGACAAAUGUUAUCACAUUUAGAAAAGGUAAGAUAUGAUUGUACGUGUAAUCUUGUAAGAUAUGUCGUUUGUGUUUCAAUAAUUAUUCAUGGAAUUCAAAUAAUUAACUCAUCACGUUUCUUGUGGUUCUUAAUUAUAUAAAGUUUUCUUUCUGUCCCAUUGAUUAAAUUACAAAUGUACUAUAUCAUAUAAUUGAUCUCUAAUCACAUCAAUAAUAUGUAAUCAAUUUUUUUAAUUUCUAGUGUGAAGUAUCUUUGGUAUAAUUUCUUUUUUUUUUAUCAUUACUUUAGUUUAUUUAAUUAACAAUAAAUUAUGAAGAUUAAAAAAAUAUCUAACUUUUGAAACAAACGUAUAAGUCAGCUUAAAUAAUGUUACUCUCUAUAUUAUCAAAAGUAUUAAUUCAAUGUAAUGUUCACACCCAAUCGUUCAUGCCAUUAAAUCUUAGUUCGCUUUAAUAAUUGGAUUAUGUUUGUGUGAACGAAAAAAACUGAACUGAGUUUAAGAAAGAAAAAAGUAUUACGAAAAAUAUCAUCUAUAUAUAAAGAUUUGUCGGUAUAUAGCAAAAAAUAUAUCUUGCGAACAAAUUUUAAGUUUAAUCUACUGUAGCCUUUAAACUUAGAUUUAGGUUGGAAAUACGCUCAAAAUCUUACGGCGGUUAAAUAAUAUGAGUUUAUAAAGGAAGAUACAAUUAUUUCUAGUGGUUAUGAACUUUUUAGAAUGUGAAACUCAAAAGAAAGUCUUGAAGAAAGUCGGUCUAAAAGUUGAUAAUAUCAUAUCAUUAGAGUAAUAUCUGACAAUUUAAAUAUUAUUUUUCAAUACAAUUUUGAGUUUAUUUAUUUAUUAUUAUUUUGUAUUUUAAAACUUUCUAAGGCCCCAAAUUAAACUACGUAAAGCUAAGCUUAGGUUUUCAAUAAUCCUUCCUAACUCUUUUUUUCACUAUUCCACGUCUCUUUUUCAAUCAUUUUCAAAUUUUGAGAGAUGGAUCCCACACGUCAUUUUCCACUUUUCUACAUUUUCCCAAUUUCCUUUUCUCUCUCUUUCUUAAUUUAUUUCUUUAUAACAUCCUUUCUUUUUCUAUUUUAUUCCUUUUUUUCCUUUGUUGUCUCUUUCCUUCUUUUUUUUUUUUUCCUUCAUUUUCUUUUUCAUUCUUUUUUUUUUUCCUUUUUUUUCUUCUUAAAAUAUAUAUUUAGAGUGUGUUUGGAGUGGAAAUUUACGACGAUUAGAAAAAUGAUUAUAUGGCUCAAACAUUGUAUGGGUCAAGGUUUUCCAUUUUUGAGGAUUAGGGUUAAAAAACCCUAUAAACUAUCAUACUUUAUCUUUUCAUAACCCUACAAAUUUUCCUACUUCACCUUUUCAUAAUCCUACAAAUUUUUCUACUUCAUCUUAUCAUAAAAUUACACUCAUAACUCUUCUCCCAAACACUUGUUAUAAUAACACUACAAUUAUAACCCUUUCCCCAAACGUAUAUUAUCAUAAUACUAUAACAAUAAUCUUUUCUCCAAACACAUAUUAUCAUAACACUACCAUUCAUAUUACUUCUCCCAAACACAUAUUACCAUAAUACUACCAAUAAUAACCCUAACAUCAAACAUAUAUUAUCAUAACACCAUCAUAAUCUUUUUUUCCCAUAACUCAUUCCCUCCUCCAAACGCACACUUAAAGUUUAUUUUGUAGACUUUUUCACUUCCUAUAUAUGAAUUAUAAUUGUUCUUUUUCCAUUGUUUACUCGUAUAUUCAAUAACUCUUCUCUUUACAUUUUAUUUUUAUUUGUUUUAGUACAAUAAUUUUAAUAAUAUAAGUUUGUAAUUAUAUGUUUUCUAUUACAUGGGCACACAAAAAAAAUAAAUUAAUGAAAACUAACGAUUCAAGCUAAAUUUAUGAAAUGAGUUUGAACGUCACAAUUAAGAAGAUUAAAAAAAUUAAUUUGAAGCAAAAUUUUGUAUUUCAUAGAAAAUAUAUAUGCAUAAAAAAAAAAAAGAUUAGUGCAAAAGAAAGAUUGAAGCUUAAUUUAUGAUAUAGACGUAGUAAUUAAAAAACUUUUUUCAUUCUGAUGUACCAUAUAUAUGCAUGCAAAAAAAAAAAUGGUAAAAAGUAACAAUUAAUAAUAGCAGUUUUAACGUUGUAAUUAUGAUGAAUAAGGAAAAUGUGUUUUAAGAAAAAUAUUGCAUUUCAUGAAAAAUAUAUGUGGCAUGGAAAGAAAUAUUAGUGAAAAUGCAAGAUCCAAGCUUAAAUUAUUGCUAGGAAUCUUGUAAUUAGAAGCUUACUUAAUUCGAUGUACAUUAUAUAUGUAUGAAACAUCACGAUUGAUGCUACAUUUAUUGAAUGAAUAUCAUAAUAAAAAUUAUUUAAUAAAAUCAAUUUAUGAAAAUCGUGUAUUGGAUCUACAAUAUAUAUUUUAGUGAAAAAAAUUUAUAAAAAACCUAGAUUGUAAUAGUCUCCACCCAAAAUACACAGUUUAUAAUAACACAUAUUAUUAUCAUAUAUAAAACACAAAUUAUCAUAGUCUACAACCCAAAUGCAGACUAUCAAAACAGAUUAUAAUAGUGUAUGCGCUCCAAACGUAGACUAUCAUAAUACUAGAACUAUCCUAAAUCACUCGCUCCCUAACGUCCCUUUAAAUAUAUGUAUGAAAAUUUUGUUUUUUAAUUAAUUGAUUUAGUUUUUUUUUUCUUUACUUGUUUUAGGUUUUUCUUUUAAUAUUAUCAAAAUAUCUAUUUAAUCUUUUAAACUUUAAAACAUUGGCCAUUGGGUAGCAAUUUUAAUUUUUAGUUUUUUUUUUUUUAAAAAAAGCUAAAAGCAUUUAAACAUUCUUUCCCUUUUUUUUUAAUCUUUUAUCUACUUCUUUACCAAUAUUUUAACAAUCCAAGUUAAAUCUUGAAAAUUAAAAAAAAAAUUGUAAUUUCUUUCGCAAAUAAUUUAACUAUUAUACAUAAGAAUAUGCAAAUUAUGGUAAAGAAUUUGAAAAUAAAUAUUCUUAGUUAAAAAAAAAAAACAAAAGUAAAAAGAUUAUAGAAUAAAGUCUAGUACAUUUUAAAAAUAUCUCACACGUAUAAUAGAAAUAAGAAAAGUACUUACAUGCAUCUUAGACAUUUUACUUAUGUUUCGUACAUUCCACCAAAUUGUCCAAUCAUAACUUAUCAUAUACCAAAUUUUGCUAAUUUUCUUUUCUUUUAGUAGAGUAUUUUAAUAUGUUUUUAUGUAAAUGGUAAGAAGGGAUGUACAAAUUAAAUGAAAUGCACCUAAGCAUACUUACUCUAUACUAAAUAUUCCCCCAACUUCAAUCAACCCAUGCCAACUUUCAAUACACGACCUAUGCUACGAGAAGAUUUAAAAUAAGGGGAAUGGUUUCGAAUACAGCAAAAAUGAACUAAAAUAUUUAUAAAUUAUAGCAAAUUUUUAUAUUCUCUAUCAACUACAGACACUCGUAGUCACUAAUAGAAGAUUAUCAAUAGUUAUGGGUGUCUACAAUUCAUAGAAUAAUUUAAAAUUUUGUUUUAUUUUAUAAAUAUUUUCACCAAUUUUAUCAUUUACAAUAAUUUUUUUUAAAAUAAACAUAUUUAAAUAUGGGAAUAAACUUUGAAUAAUGUAUAUAUCUCAAAAAUGUUUCCACUCUAAAAUUUUUAGUUUCAUUCCAAUUCAAUAUCUUAAAGUUCAAUAAUUGUUACAAACUUUACCCUAAUUUAUUCAAUCUCUAGCAAAUUUAAUUUAUUCAAUCUCUAGGAAAACAUGUCUCUCAAAAAAAAAAAUCAAAUAACACAAAAGAAAAAAAAACAUCCAUAAUUCAUUGAAUUAUUAAAAGCAAACAAACAUUACACCAAACGAAGCCUGCAUAAGAUCAAAUUAAUCGAUCAAAUUCGACUGAAUCAAUAAAAAAACAGAACUUUAGAGCCCCGUUCAGUCAUUAUUCAAUUUUUGGCUUCGAAAAUUUUGCAGUACCAAGUGACAGUUUAAGAAUAUGAUAAUCAUACGUUUUUUUUCCUUUUGUAGAUAUGACAAUUUUUAGUGUGUCAAAAAUAUGAAGUGUAUCGUAUAUAUCAAAGGUGUAUUUUUGUUUUUACUCCCAUCAAUUUUAUAGUGGAGAUAUGCUAAAUUCACAUCAUAAUUAUACUUUUCUAACUAUGAAUUAUAAAAAUAUAUUAAAAGGUAAAAAGUAUAAUAGUUCACACCUUUCGAGGUUUGUAUUCAAUUUAAUUUUUCAACUGACCACUAUAUCAAUUUAAAUUUUAAAUUUUCAAAAGUGUAUUUCUUCUUAAUCAAAAUAUUGUGUUAAACUUUAUUGAGUUUACAUUUGAAAAUCAUCAAAACAUUUAAAAUCCUACACAUGUGCAUGUAGAUGUUUUCGAUCGUCGAAUUAAUAAAAUGAACUAUUAAACAAAAUUGAUAGAUGGAUAAAUUUCAAACAAAAUGUUGAAAAGUAUUCCAAAUUGAUUCGUGAAGAAAGUUUAAGCAUUUAAUCAAUAAAAUUCAAAAACAAAACAAAACUCUUGAAAAGUGUAGGAAUAUAAAUGACUAUUUUUACAAUAAUAUUAUAUUGUUAGACAAAUCCAUAGAUAGUGUAUAUACUAUGCUUAUACUUCCAUCGUUUAUUAUUUGGUGGUAAAGGCACCAUGGAAUUGUGUAGAUAUCAAAUAGAGUGAAAAUCUUUUGUUGGAAACACUUUUUCAUAAUUACCUCAAACAACAAUUGAUGGAUUCAAAGGAAAAGAGGCAAUAAUGGUGGUGGAGGGGUAAUAAUUCCAUCAAAUAAUUAUAUUUCUUUAGUGCAUUUCCUUUAGUUGUAUUUUGAUAAUUAAUGGAAUGAUUAAUUAUUAUGCUCAAUACCUUUUUUUUCAUACCAUAAUUAAGUUUGGUCUUGCAUUAAUGAUAAAGUUUUGAAUUGUACAUGUAUGAUGAUUUUUAACUAUUGUAUUUUUUAAUUUUGUUACGGUACAACUAUGGUGGAUGGUUAACAGUUAAAUGAUGUUAGUUCUUAGUUCAUAAUCAACAGGAAGCUAUUAGAUUAAAUUACGAUAACGAUUUAAUGGUUGGAAAGACAAUUUUGGAAUACAAUGGUGGUAGUUUAUAUGUAGCCAACAUCAUAUAUUUUCAAGCUAAGUUUAAAUAAUGGAUGAAAAAAAUGUUUCAUAGUCCAUUUUAACUUGUCAUUCCUAUAAACUAAGAAAACUCCAUUAUCAUUGUCUCUUCUUUCUUUGUUAAAAUACAACUCAAUUCACAUCAUGAGAAAAAAUGGUUAAGUCAUAGAGAUUAGGAUCAAACCAUGGGGACUGUUUUUAAGGUUUUAUAUAAAAAAAGAGCUGACAGAAAAAAUAGCAAAUUAAUUUACUGGUUUAUUUUAGAUAAAUGACAAAAUUUAAUUUAAAUCGAUAAUAUAGCAAAAUUGUUAAAAAUGAAAAGCAAAAAAGCUGCAAAAAGACGGUGAAAAAAACCCAUCACAAAUAUAAUUAUUUCAAAACCCAAAAUACCUUAUAAUUGAAUUAGACUCCUGACUAUUACCAAGAUCGUUUCAACUUUCUCUCUAAUUUUACCCUACCAAAACUAUCGAACCAAUUAAAAGCCAUAAAAUUUCAAUUUUCCCUCAAACUCAGUUCGUCUACCCUCAUCUCCAUUGAAGUCAAUUUCAAAACUUGAAGUAAAGUGUCAGCUACUAUAACCUUUGAAAGAGCAGUGAUAGUUCACAAAAAAUCCUCUCAACUAAAAGAAAGACAUCCAACUUCGAUUUCUGCAAAAACAAAGUUUGUUUUGCCUUUUCUUCUUUUGUGUUCUCCUCUGAUUCCUGCAGCUUAGUUAAAUUGAUGGUUAAUAGCACAGUGUCAAUUAUCUUGAUGGACCGAUGCAAUCAGUCAUCCACUCCACCAUAAAUUGACUGUAACAGUAUCCAUUGAAUUUCUCCUCUAAAAAUAUCAACAUGCAUAAAAAUAUUUAAAUUUCACAAAAACAUGGGUGUUAUGGCCUAUUUUUCUCAAAAUGUUUUUUUUUGUCGGAUAUUUCUCAAAUUUAAAGGAACCUUGGGCCUUGGGCCUCCUCCCCACAAAAAUCUCGUUGGGCCAUAAACGAGUUACCCACUACCCAAGGCGUCCACUUUAUUCAUCGGAGCUCAGGUUGCAUGAACCGCGGAGCUCCGUCCAUCAAUGGCCAUCAACAAGCCUCCUCCUACUACAAAUUCCGACAACGAACGCAUCGUUAUUGGAUCUGCCAUAGCCUCACGGCUUCUUCUACUCUUCUUAAUCGUCUUCUGGCGUUUUCUCCUCAGCCCUUACGACACUUCAGCAUCGCUUAAUCCUUCAUGCUUAAUCAACCCAUCUUCUUUACCCCUCACCCAACAACCAGUUCUUUUUCCUCAAAUUGGCUCCGCCAUUGAGAGCAGCAUUGUCUGGGAUGGCGUCUACUUCGUCCGAAUCGCUCAGUGCGGUUAUGAAUAUGAGAAAUCCUACGCCUUCUUGCCCCUUCUCCCUUUCUGCAUUUCCCUCCUGUCCCGCACAGGUUUGCUAUUUAUACUUCAUUUCGUUGUUUAUUCCAUUGUUAUUUUUAUUUUAUUGGUUAUUAUGUAGAAUGAUCGCUUCUUACAUUUUACUUGGGUGGCUUAUGAACAACUGCCGAUGUGCUUCGGGGAUUAAUUCAUUUUUUGUGUGGUUAAUGCGGUUCUAAUUUUGGUACAGUAUUGUUGCCUUUGGUUCCGGUAAUUGGGCAUAGAGCUGUAUUGGGACUGUCUGGAUAUCUAAUUAAUAACAUUGCUUUUGUCCUUGCUGCACGUUAUCUUUUCAGGUGGGUUUGUUGAGAUUACGAGUUUUUGGCCUGUAAUUCUUAGGUUUAUACUCUGAUUUUUCAAAUGGGUAAAUAGCCAUUCAUCUGCUUUUGUACUUUCUUGCUUUUAUUCUAUGUAAAAUCCUGACAUCUUCUACCUGGUCGCUGUAAUAGGCUUUCACUUAUUAUUUUGAAGGAUGCGGAAGCAGCAAUGCGGGCUUCAGUUCUGUUUUGCUUCAAUCCUGCUUCUAUAUUUUAUUCAUCAUUGUAAGUGACUUUUUCUUUCCUAUAUCACUAUGGGCGUAAAAGGUUUUGAUGGUGAUGGACUAUACUUGCAAUUGUAGAUAUACUGAGAGUUUAUACUCGCUAUUUUCAUUGGGUGGAUUAUAUCACUUGAUGAGUGGUAGAAGUAGUGUUUCUGCUCUGUGGCUAGCUCUUUCUGGCUGUGCUAGGUCCAAUGGAGUGCUUAAUGCUGGUUACAUCUGUUUUCUGACUAUGCAUUGGGCUUAUGAUGCUCUUUUUCUGAAGAAAUGUAUCCGUGUAAGUAUCCUUUCUAAUUAAUUGAUAAUGAGUUUUAUAAUGUCUGUUUGUUAAGUUAUCUUGGUUGAGAAGUAAUGCAUUUCUCUAAUUGUUUGUGUUUCUGAUUUAUUGGUCAAAUUUCUCUUUUGAGUUUUCCUUUUGUGAUGCAGAUUUCUUGUGCUUUUAUACAAGACAGAAUCGAGUUGUUUUGUAAUUAUUCUCUUUUAGAUAUUGGUAAAAGUUGGAGUAUUUUUAUGUAAGCUCUUAGGCAAUUUUGAGGAGAACUCAUCUGCUCUUUUAUGCUUCAUUUUCUGAUGGAGUAGGUCCUUUUACCCUUCUUUUUACUAGGAGAUUUCUUUGGAAAGUUGGGCUCUUGAUUAUUUUGUAGUAUAUUUGGUCAGAGAGAAAUAGAAGAGUUAAGGUCCUUAAUCAAAGUGGCUUUAUUUAAAAGAAAAAAAAAAAUUUAGAUAGACAAAAUUUCACAUUUAUUAGAAGAAAAGUACAAGAGACGGUGGACAAAAGCUUCAUUUAGGAAGGAACUUAAGAAAAAGCAGUCCUGUAUUGUUUAACUAUGAUAAACAAAAAGGAAGUUGAAGAUGUAAUGUUCUAACUUUGUUUCAUGGUCAGCAAUGUAGCAUUAAUAAUAGUUUAUUAUUUAUUCCAGAAGGGACUGCAGGUUCUCAUUUCUGGAGCCCUAAACUGUGUCUUUAUAUUUGCUCCAUUCAUUGGAUUUCAAGCAUAUGGGUAUUACAAUAUUUGCAGUGGACGGAUACCAGAAGAAAUGAGGCCAUGGUGUAAAGCUAGGGUACCGCUGCUAUACAACUUUGUUCAAAGUCACUACUGGUAUUGACUUUUUAACUUGCCCAGUAUUCCAAACUUUAUAUCAAUAUUCUGUAGACCAUAGAUGACUUCGUAAUUAUUUUCAAAAUCUUUAGAUAAUCCUGUAAUUCUAGGGUUUCUCAUAUAUAAAUGUUUGAACUUGAAAUAGUUUGGAAGUGUAGGAACUUGUCGACAGAGAGAAUUAGGUUACAAGAAUCAGUUAUUAAUCUAACUAUCAAUUUGAACAACUCAGUAUCCCAACUCUAGAGGAUACUAAUUAUACUUUACAAGUGAGAAAAAGAAAUUAUAAAUUUUAUCAAUGAAGAGAAUUUUACAAAGAAUGAGUCUGUCAAGACUCGACAGGAUAAAGUUUCUUCUCUCUGAAGGAAGAGUUAUGAAGAAGAAUAGGGUUCCAAUCACUGCACAAAAAUUCUAAAGGAAUCCAAUUCAUAACAUUGCAAAUGCAAAGUUAUAGACAGCUUCCUAACAUCCCCUGAUACUGACAGGAUGAAUAUGUUAGAUACCUAGAUUAGUAUAGGGCUAAAGGUAGUUAGUUAUGUAGGCAGUUAGAUGGUUAUAAAUAGGAAGUUGGGGAGGGAAGAAAAGGGAGAUUAGUUUUGUGGGUAGUUUUUCUGCACUCUUUCUUGUUCUUAGUUAGUUUCUAUAUUUUCAUUUCAUAUCAAAUUUUUUUUGUAAUAGUGAGUUUAUAUCAAUUGAACAAGAACACGUUUAUUGGUGUUCCAUCAGAAUAACAAUCACAUCCUGAUGCUAUCAUACUCAUUAAGGAAGCAGUGAGAUUAUGUGGCUUCCCACGUUCAAUUAUCUCUAAUCGUGACAGGAUAUUUGUGAGACUUUUGGAAUGAAUUGUUUAAGAUACAAGGAACCCAACUUCAAAAAAACGCCACCUUCCAUGUUUAGAUGGACGAACUAUGUGAGAUUGUCAACAAGUGCUAGGAGAUCUAUGAAGAUAUUGAAGAAAAUGAUUUGUAAGAACAUCUUUUGAAUUUUCUUUUGUUACAUGUCAGGAACCAUGCGAUUUUGGUAAGUUGAAAGGGUGGGAUACUUUGGUUGGGUGUGAAGUAGGACCAUUUCCUUCUUCAUACUUGCAUCUCCAUUUGAGCCACAACCACAAGAUUUGUUUUUGGGAUCUCAUAUUGAGUUAUUGUGAGUAAGAUUCAUAAGAGACUCGUCUUGGAAAGAGCUUUUUCUUGAAAGGUGGUGGAUUUACACUCAUUCUAUUUGCGGAGUUCUCGAAAGAGGUUGCAACGAGAUGGUUGAGAAGUUCCAUCUCAAUCCUUCUUUUUCAUGAGAAUGAAAGGUUUUUAUGGUGAAUCGGGAUGUGUGCAGUCUUGUGGGACUUCUGGGGAGUGCAGAGCAAAGCUUGAGAGAUCGUUGAGUGAUGUUUGGUUUAUUGCUAGUUCUAACGUUUCUUCAUGGGCCUCAAGUCUAUUCUUAUGUGAUAGAAGGCCCUUGUUUUAAAUUGUCCACUUUUAAGGAGCUUUACUUUUUGUAUCCUCUUGUAUUAUUUCAUUCUCUCUUAAUAAAUCCUCUGUUAUAAUCCUCUGUUAUUCAUUAUAUAUAUAGAUAGGUAGAGUCUAAUUUUAAGAGCUUUAUUUUUUUGGGGGUUUUUACAAAAAUAACAAAAAAAUUUAUGAUAAUAGAGUUUAUGUCACAACAUUUUCUAAAUUCUAAAUUUGCAAAAGUAGCAAAUUUAAAAGUGAUGACCUCUGAUAGCCAUAUGAUUGUCGUCUGAUAGCCUUAUGAUUACCGUCUAAUAGUCGUCUAAUAUCACUAAUUUUACCAUAUUUGCAAUAUGCAAAAAAUUGAUGUCAUGAGCUUUUUUUUUCUAAAUAUUUUUGUCAUUUGAUGCAAUUUCCCUUAUUUUUUUAUGCUCUUGAUUUAUUUCAUUUCUGCUCAAUAAAUCCUCUGGUAUUCAUAUAGAUAGAUAGAAUAUAACUUCAAGUUUUUUUGGACACUCAAAUCGGAAAUUAAGGCUCUGGUAGUUUUCAAAGAAGCAGGCGCACAGGAAAAGAAAGCAUGUAGAUUUAAUUGUUUAUACAAUUGGGAAAUAUCAUUCGAUUUUCAGUAUUCCUUACAAACUAUUGUGAAAAGACAAUACGUUAGAAAUGUUUACUUUGUUUCAGAAAUUCAUUAUAAACCUCUUUUCAGAUUUUAUUAUUUAUAUUCUAAUUGAAAUUGCUAUGCUCUUUUUUUAACAUCUUGCAUACGUCUUUUGGGAUGGCAGGGGAGUAGGUUUCUUAAAAUACUUUCGAUUCGAACAGCUACCAAACUUUCUACUUGCAUCCCCAAUUUUGUCUUUGGUUUUUUUCUCAAUUCUCCACUACGGAAAGUCAAAGACAAAGCUUUUAUUCUCGGUGGGUUUCCAACCAAUGGAUGAUGAUAGAAAUUCUGCUGCCAUGCUUUACUUUCCAGAACGUGUUUCAAGGUCAAGCACACCUCAUACUACAUCUUCCUCUGGGUUACAAGGUAAUGCUUAUUUUUCAAUGGUAAUGUAACAAGAUUUUGUGUUGUAUGAGUAGGUAUAAGUUUUGAAAUUGAGUAGUAUCUUGUCUUGACUUUCCUUGUCAUUUUGUUUUGUUGCAAUUUUUAAAGCACCUUAAGCUAUUAUUUCAUAGGAAAUCAGAAUCUUAGACAGAGAAAGAAGAUUUUUGUACAGGAUCCUGCUGAGCUUGCAGUAGAGGAUAAACCGUCCAAUGGGUCAGGAUACUUUUCUGCUCUUGUACUUCCAUUUAUCCUACAUUUGGGGUUUAUGGCUGCCACAGCAUUUUUUAUCAUGCAUGUACAGGUUUGUCUCCUCUCCAUAAUUUGUACUUUUUUCAAAAGAAUAUGUACAUGGUGUGUGCUGAAGAAUAUCAUUUGCUUGCUUUCUGUUAUUUCAGCUACGAGUCAGCAUUAUUGUUUGCAUUAUAAAUCUAGUUUCAAUAUAUAUACAUAUAUAUAUAUAUAUACACAUUAGCAGCUGUUGAAGACAACUAUCAAGUAAUUUUUGAGUUUGGAACCCUCUGGUCCUAUGAGGCAAUAGUUCUCAAGUUAUUCCUUAUAAAUACCGAUAAAUAGUCCAUAUGGUAUGAAUUGUGUACGAGAAUUUUAUCAAACCAUUAGACUAUUUGUGAGAUUUUAUUAAAUCAAAUGGAUUAAAUUCCAAUUAUAAAUCAUAGGGACUGAAUUCUAAGUUUCUCCAAACGAUUCGAACCAAAUUUGCAAUUUAACCCUAAAACUAUGGUUCAUGUUGUAUGGACAUUACAUAGUUAAUUUUCUAUAUUUUAGAGAGUAAUAUUCAGCAUAAGCCUCUUCUGUUAGAAGCAUAAGUUAUUCAAACCCUAGCAAAUAGCAAAACAAAUCCAUAAAAACAUUCUAAGUUCCAUGUCUUGUUUUUAAGCUUAGUAUCUCAGAGUUCAGAAUUCAACAGGUUGCAACACGAUUUCUCUCUGCAAGCCCUCCUCUCUAUUGGUUUGCCUCAUACAUUACAGUUAAGCGAUGGAGAUAUAUUAUCUGGGCAUACUCUAUCGCAUAUAUCCUCCUCGGUAGUCUGCUGUUUUCAAAUUUCUACCCAUUCACAUGAUUUGUUGCAGCAAAACAACACUUUAGCUUUGGUAUCGAAUCAUCUUGGUUGCUGAUGAUCGUGCUAUUGCUUCAUAGUCCACACUGUUUUGGAUGAGAAAAAAUGUUUAGAACAAGAGCCACAAAGUUCGUUAUAGUUCAUGUAUUAGGGGAGUUCUUCGAGUAGAAGUUAUUUAAGUAAUUUAAAGAAAUUUUGUUCACCUUGUAUGUAAUAAUUGACUUAAUGAGGGUAAUUGUUGAUUACCAAGUUGUAUAAUUGCUUGUGUUUCAGGUUGCUUUUAGGUACUGUCUUCAAAUACAAAGCUUUCCUAACUAUUCAAAUGUUCCAUUUACAAUUUCUUCUCCUUUGUUUAUAUGUAAAUAUUUGGUUAGUUUUAGCUUUUGAAUUUCACUUUUAAGUUUAUUUUAGUCACAAACUUUUAGAGAAAUGUAUUUUCACUUUUAAAAAGUGAUUAUUUCAAUUCCGUUCUUUUAACAUGAGACUUUAUUUGCGACAGUUCUUAAAAUAAAACCAUAAACUGAUAAUAAAAAUUUUGAACUGUGUCAAAUUUAGGUUAAAAUUUUGUAACUUUGGAUCAAAACAGUCACUUUUUUAAAGACUAAAACAACAAUUUAAACUUUUUUUUUUCUACUUAAGUUUAGUAGGAGAAUGUUGAUUAUUAGUAACUAUAAUCCAAGUCCAACGACAAUGGUUAGAUGUCAUUUUUAAAUACUCGUCAAUCGAAUUGCUGCUUUUGUUUACAGAUUUAGACAAUGGUCUCAUGUGUCAAUACAAACUAAGCAUAAUCAAAUGAAGCUCAAUUUUUAAAUUACAAUUAAUUCAUUCUCAUUGCACUUAGUAAACAUGGUCUAGAUGCCGUCUUACUACUUUAUAGAAAUGAUGAUUAAAAAUGGUUAGUGAUAGUCUGACCAAGUCCAUCUAAAGUUUCAUAACUAAAUUUCAUAAAAUUGAAACCUUGAUGUCGAUUAAAUAACCUAGGCCUAUCAUAAAACGAUCACAAUGAGACAUUUCUUCUAAAAGCAAGUCCCUAUCAACAUUAGAGAUGGAUUAGUUUCAACUUUCAAACACUGUACAAAGAAGUUGAGAUACAAUAAUACAAAGAGAUCAAGAAAUAUCUCAAACAGAGGGACCAGAUCUGAGCACUCUCUCCAGUUUCUCAGCUUUUGUGUAAUCAUUUUCAUUGAGAGGCCCAGCAGGGAAUGGAGUUAUUUCCACAAUAAGAUGUGGGGUUGGAAGCUCAUCAAACAAAGCUCUCACAUUGUUGCAACAAACACUCUCCCCAUGAGCACUUUCCCUCCUGAUUUGACAACCCUACAAAUCACAAACCUCUACAUUGUGAUGUCUUUGAGAAUAAUCAUGCAAUUGAGCAAAAAACGGAACGGUUUGUGUGUGUGAAGAGUGAACAGGAUGGAUAACAAGCAUGAUGUGGAAUGGAAAUGGAGGAAUGAAUAAUUCUAGGAUUGUGAUUAGAUUUAGAACCUUGUGAGAUGUGGCAUCAACGAAGUGAUCGUCGUCGGAAAGGAGGGACAUGAUGGCUUUAAGAAGACGCCGUCCUUCGGAUUUAGAUGGCACUCGAUAGUUCCUUCUGAGGGUUCCCUUUGUGGUAGGAUGCCAUUUGCUCACUAGUUUUCUUUUAUCAACUGCUUCAUCCACUGUCAACAAACACAAGAAAGUAUGAUUCAUUCAUCCACUGCCAAUUCCAGAGGUUGAGGAAAGAAAACACUGAAAGGGAUUAAAACAAAUUCCUUUAACCACACUUUUUAAUUUCAUAUACAAAACUCUAAUUUGCUUGUAUCGUUCCAAAUUCCAAUUUUAUCAGAUGUCUCCAAAGGGGCGAUACAAAACUCUAAUCUAGAUAUAUUAUACAAUUCAACAGAGCUACAUAAGGUGUAAAGAAAAGAAUCAAAGAAUACCAGAUAAUUAGCAUACUAAACUCUAGGAUCAAAUUAAACAAAAUGUUGUAAGCAGAGUUGUUCAAUGUUUAUAAGUAUUCCAUGUUUAUUAGACUAAUAAACAUGGAACAACUCUAGAACAUUCACAAAGAUCACUGAGAAUUAUAGAUGGUCUGCCAAACCUAGCAUUCAAGACUUUCUUUUAUAGGAAACAACUAUAUUACAAAAAGAAAACUCUAUACAAGAGAUCCCCAUCAAAUAGAGUAGCAAAGUGCCUUCCAACCCAGCAUUCAAGAUUCAGCAGAAGAAUGGAUUAACAAAGCCCCAAAGUAUUAGUUCCAACAAUGUUUACAUUCAUAACUUAACUGCUAAAACUUUUUCUAUUAAUCUUUCGUACCCUAUCAAACAAAAAGAAGUCAUUCAAUGUCAACUACAUAGCUAAUGAUUAUUGAAGCUUCAGCCAUAUGAUUUGUAGAAUUUUAGUCCCUUGUUUCAAUUCAAAAUCAAAACAAAAGGCAACGUUGAUCAGUGAAUUCUUCAGUUAAUGUAUCCUUCAGUGUAUUCUAACAAACUAUGCUCAGUUUGGUAAGUUG
rnacentral:lncRNA from 1 species